rnacentral:lncRNA from 1 species
UUCUUUUUUUCUUUCUUUUUCGUUUACUACUGUUUUUUAUGAUCUUGGGUGGUUGAUUUGUAGGUGCAACACCUGAUAGAGAAGUGCUUGAUCUUCCACAUGAGUAAAGAAGAGUGCAUGGAAGCCCUCUCCAAACAUGCAGACAUCAACCAAGUCAUCACCUCCACCGGUUAGCUCCUUUAGAUCAUGCACGAAUCUCUCUCUAUGUGUUUGCCUUUCGUUCACAUAACUCCGUACGGUCGUAAUAUUUUUGUAUAAAAAUUUAUGUGUGCAGUGUGGAAUGAAUUGGAGAAAGAGAACAAGGAAUUCUUUGAGGCCUACCAUACUCAAACCCAAACCAGAGAUGACAGAAUGUCAGAGGCUGAGACAAACGAAAUGAUCCAGAAGAUGAUAGCAGACUCCAAAGAUUCGGACUAAUCAGAACAUUAAUCCUCGACAACUCUCCCUACCUUUUGCUUCUGGUUGGUACGAACGUAGUUGCCCAUCUCAGAAUCAUCCAUAUCCAGCAGCCAAUGAACUUGUUGUACAUGCAAUAACUUUGAUUCUACGAAUUGGGUAAAUUUCUAUUGGGAAAUACUCCUGGAAUCUUGGUGUAUAUAUCAUGCGUUUAUUUGUGGGAGUUGUUGAGUAGUCUUGUCUUCAGUAGUGGGAUAUAGAGAAGAUCAAUGUGAUGUUGGUAGGAAAGCCAGUUGGAUGGGCCAGUUGACGCAGCCCAGUAGUGACGGCAACCUUUUUUGGGAUUGAACCAACGGUCUAAAACGACUGCCAUUGAGCUGAUCUCACUUCUCAAUAAUCGAUGUUGUAUGUGAUGUCAUCUCCUUCAAUCACUCCAUAAUAAUAAUGGAAAAUGUCGGAUGGAUGGGUCCAUUGAAUCGGACAUCACAUACAUGAUCAUGCGUUGGCACUUGUCACUGCAACUGUGUUGUUUCGAUUGAUUGAUAGAUUUUCCUUCAAACAAAUAAAUUGUGUUGAACAACAGCAUAAAAGAGAGAUUAUGCCCUCAGUGGGGAUGGUCUUGGUUUUAAGACUUUAGAAUUUAUUUCCAAGUUGGAUGAGUUGUUAAGUCAUGAAUAUAGGUUGAUAGCUAGGUUUGAUCAACCAAAAAACAAUAAACUCUGACCAUUUAAAAUUAUUUAAAAAAUUAAUUAUAGAAUUAAAUAUUUCAUAUCAUGAGUAGGAAUUGAUGUUGGAUUCCAGUUAAACCCACAACUAUACCUAUUAUUUUCAAUUUCACGAAUCCAAUUCAAAUUUAAAAACCAGCACAGUCCAAUCAAAUGGAAUUUGACUAAAGUCGAAUUCAAUCAUAUUAAAUCCACCCUAAUUAUUUUAUCAUGAUUUCCCUUCAAAUCAAACUUUGAUAUCAUAUUAAACUAUCAAUUUUUUUGACAUUUAAAUUUACAGGAUUUAAGGGGGAAAGAAAAUAAGGUGAGAUAAAGAUAAAAGAUCAAAAUUUUUAAUUAAUCCAAAAUAUGAGAAGAGAAAAAGACAACCUUCAUUUUGGAAGUUUGCCUAACUUAUUCCAAAGAAGUAUCAAUGCUCAAGACGCAUGAAAAAAAAUGAAUUGCAGGGUUCUCUGGACUAGCUAUUGAACCUACUUUUGCAAUAUCAAACUCAGCAUUAGUGAAUAGCAGAAAAAGAAAUCUUAAUCAUGAGUAUUUUUGGGGUUAGCCAAGAUUUUCAAACAAGGUUGGUACGAUCUGUCAUGUUGUCAGAUGGAGACUAGACCUUGUAAGGAUAGUUGAGUGGCUAUCUAUGGAGAUAUCUAGUCCUUUUUGGUGGGCAUUAUUUAUAUUAAUCAUAGUUUGUAAAGAAAGGGACGGAUCCUUCACUUAUGUCUGGGCGUGUUAUUGCCUCCUACCUCAAUUAACUUCUUUGUUGCAUGAAUGCAUUUUUUUUUUACCUCUUUUGGGUGCAUUUUGGCCUGGUAACUGGUCCUUUCUGUCCAGGUAUAUAGCUCUACAUUGAUCAGGGCAUAGGCGAGGAAGCAGAACACUUUGUGGGCAAAUGUGCAACAGUUGAGCACAGCUCCUCUUCAAUGAGAAGAUUAAACACGAACAAAAUAUUACAAUGGUUUGGGCUGAAUUUUUUUUUUCUUUUACUGUUACAUGCAAUUUUUGGAUGCAAUGAACCAAGAGUCUUUUGACCUUUGUGAUGUCUUUUCCAGUGGUAUAUGUUGAUUGCUAUUUUUAGAUUUUUCUAGCAUUGACCAAAGUUUGAUUUGUCUUUCCCAUUGUCUUACCUAAGCUUAUUAUACAUUGUUACCUUUUUCAAGUAAUGCGUGCUCCUCUGCGUACCACAUAUUAUUAGGCCCUUUUUUAGGAUUCUUGAUAAAUGUACUGCUAUUAGAAAAAAUAAUAUUUAAAAUAUCGUAGAUUGGAAAAUAAUUCCAAUUCUAAGAUACUUUUGAACACGUAGGAUAACACGUAGGAUGAGAUAUGAAAACUCAUUCCCCCCUUUCCAUUUCCCUUCUCGUUUUUCUUCUCUGCAUCAAAACUCCUCUACCUGAAAACAUAUUAUCUCGCAUGUUGAACUAUGUUUUAUCUCGCACGCUGAACAUGGGUUAGAGAUCCUUGCCUCAACACCAAUAGGAAGGAAGUGAAGUGCAGAUCUGAGAAACCAUUGCCCCCGGUGUUUUUUGUAAGUUUUGUGGUUAUAUUUGGUGGUGUGGUUGUGUUUGGUCAUCGAGAAAGUGUGGAAAAGUUGUAAAAAAAAUAAAGUUUUCGUUUUUUUUUACAAUGAAACUGAGUAGACUAAAAAUUAUGGAGAAAGUUUUAAUUUUUUUGUGGUUCGGUUUGUUGUGAUUUUGUUUGGUUGCCAAGAAAAUGUGGGAAAGUUGAAAAAAAAAAUUUUCCCAAUAUUUCCUACCAGUCCAGCCAGCGUACAUGAUACAAAAUCUAUCCAAUUUUUUUUAUAAAAAAACAUAAGAUACUAUUUGGUAAUCUAAUCAUGAUUUGAGAGGAAAGGUUGUGUUUUUCAGCCUGGCUCAAAAAUCGUGGAUUUAGGGUUUGUGAAAUUUAAAUCCAAUGGCACAAAAGCAAAGAGACCCUUAGAACAAAUCCAGAAAGCACGAGCAAAAAAAAAGGCAUUUUUUUUUUGUUUGUUUUGGUUGGGGCUUUUCAUGGAUUUUCUCGGAAAUCAAAGGAGGAUGAAUUUUCCUGGAAAGCGAAUAGGGGAUGGAUUUUCUUGGGAAUCAAACGGGGGUUGCAAAAAAAUAAAAAAUAAUAACCUGAUUAGAUUAGUACCUGUAAGAAUUGAAAUUCAAAUUUAAAUUCAAAUUCAAAUCCAAUGAGAUUCUUCACUGGGCAAAAUGGAUAUACUAACUUUUUAUUUGUUAAAAUAAAAAAUAAAUAAGAGACACCUUCAAGUUAUUAUUUGGAAAAAUUAAAAAUACUAUCUUUUUAUUUGGCAAAAUAUUGAUUAUAAUGUAUACAGGUGAUAAACUUUAAACAUUUGGUUGUACGGUAGGUAAUACUAAUUAAGAGAUAUAAUUUUUUUUUUCUUGAAGAGACACUUUCAGUAUAAAGUAAAAUUUUUUAACAAAUAAUGAAAAUUGUGGAAAGUGUCUCUUGAAGAGACCUUUAGUAUAAUUUUAUUUUUUGGGAAUUGUAGAAUGUCCCUUUUUAAAAUUCGAAAUUUCCACUGAAAAAUUGUGGAAAGUGUCUCUUUAAGAGACACUUUCAAUAUAAACCCAAUUUUUAAAAAAUUAUGAAAGGCGUCCGAAUAUAAUUCCAUUUUUUUGUAAUUAUGGAAGGUGUCUCUUCAAGAGACACCUUCAACAUAAAUUCAAAAUUUUCCACUGUUUGAAUGAAAAUUGUGGAAAGUGUAUUUUGAACAAACGCUUAUAGUAUAAACCCAAUAUUUUUUAACACAUUUCACAAUUCCCAAAAAAUGGAAUUAUAUUGAAGGUGUCUCUUGAAGGUCUAGACACCUUCCAUUAUUUUAAAAAAAUUGGGUUUAUAUUGAAAGUGUCUCUUGAAGAGACACUUUCCACAAUUUUCAUACAUUGAAGAGAGACAUUUUUAGCUUUAAAAUCAUUUCCACAAAUUUUAAUACAUAUUGAAUUUUAUGGAAUUGUGUAAAGUGUCUUUCCAAGAGACACCUUUAGUAUAAAUAUAAUUUUUUGGAAUUCUAGAAGGUUUCUCUUCAAGAGACAUCUUUAACUUUAAAAUCAAAUUCAUAAAACAUUCAAAUUUAUCAAAUUAUGGAAAGUGUCUCUUCAAGAGACACCUUUAAUGCAUAUUGGAUUUUUUGCCAUGUGGAAAGUGUUUUUUUAAGAGACACUUUUAAUAUAAAUCAAUUUUUUUGGAAUUGUAGAAGGUGUCUCUUGAAGAGACACCUUUAGCUUAAAUUCAAUUCUUUCAUGAUUUUGAAAUUUAUGAAAGGUGUCUCUUCAAAAGACACUUUUCACGUGGCCAAAACUGUCGUAAAUCUAUCAAUAUUUUCACAACUAUCAUUUUUUAAUUAUAAUUUUUUAAAAUUGCCGCAAAAGUUAAAAAAGCCCCCCCUUUUUAGAUUGUUUCUACCUGAAUCAUUUCAAUGACAAACCAAUGUACAAAAUUUUGAAUGGUUCCUCUGAGAGCUUGUUUCAUAUUAAAGAGAGCUUAGCUUCAAGCUUGGAUCUCUACUUCUAACUCUUCAUACUUCUGAUUUAAUGUCAAAGCGUCUUGACUUAACCAUCAAUACAUCCCAUACAGGCAAGUUCCCCUAAGUAAUUGACUUCAUGGUCUGCAUCCUAGCGAAUUCUUCUUCUUGAUUAAGCUUACUUAUCUAGAUAGUCUUAGUAUAGGUAGUGUUGGGAUAUCGUUGGAUCAUAAGCAUAUGCUUUCUAAUAAUUUAGGGUUUAAACAUUUUACCUUUGAUUAAAUGUUCCCUGACAAACUCUACUCGUUGAAGAAAGUCUCAAUGACCUAGUAAUCUUCCACCCAAUCAAUCGUUCUAUAAGUUUUGGCACUUGUGCAAAAUGGCUACUAGUGAGAUGAAGGCUCUCUAUAAGACAAUGGGUUAGAAUUGUUAACUUUAAACCCUUAAAAGGGGUUUAUAUAGACCUUUUUGUGAAUAUAAUUAAUUUAAGUCUAUCUAAGGUUUGGAUUACUUAAUCUUACACACUAUAUUUAAUUAAGUAAUUAGACCAAUUUAUAAAAAUCAAAUUAAUCAAUCAUAAAAUGUCAUGUAAUCUUAGACUUUUACCAAAACACCCCAUGUAUAUAAAAGAUCAAUUUUCCAAAAAAAAGAAACCUCAAAACUUUAUGUCAACAAAAAAUAUGAACUCAAGUAAAUGACUAUUAGGACUCAUAAGAAAUAUGAACUUCUUAAUAAUUCAAUUUUGAAAUUGACUCAACACUUUAUUAGAAAAAAUCAAUUGCACUCCAAUAUCCUAUGAAAUUACAUAAACAUGAAAAUUAAUUAAAUUAAAUUCAAUUAAUUUUCCAAGUCCAUGAUCUACUAUCCAUUAUAUGUAAACUUUCCAUAAAUUUGCAUUCAAAUUAAUCUAAUGAGGUAGAUGUUACCAACCUUUCAAAAUUACCUCUACAAUACUUGAAUUUGGAUCCUCUUAUUUUGUGAUUAAUUGAUACACUGUAAUUUACAAACAAAAUAUGUCAAAUUCUGCUAAAAGAGCCACUAUGGUCAUGGUUUAUAUGAUUACAAAUCCUUUCAAUUACCCAAGUUAACAUACUAUCUCAAUUAUAUAAGAUAUCAUGGUAUCUAAACAUAUCUAUUGUCACAUGUCUUAAUCAAGACAAUCAAUUUAUAGGUAAUAUAUGAUCAUCUUAAGAUCUCAUCCAUAAGUCAAAUAACUGGUUUAAUAUUCUCUCAAGAUUGAGACCUCAUGUAACAUAGUAGUACUUCAAGUAUUAUCUGCACCUCCACGAAUUAUGAGAUUUUCUCGAAUUUCUUCUUACUUUAAGUGCUUCUUAUAUAUACCUUGAGUUGUUUUAUGAUUUUCCUUGGGUGGCUUUCUUUUGGUUUGGCCACUAGAUAUUUAUGGCUUAAAUCAGGUUUACUUAAUCAAUAUUUAUUUUGUAGAGACGUUAAUCUAUUCAUUAAGCCUAAGUAGCUUUAGGAGGCCAUAUUCUAUACUCAAGUUGGAGAUAUCAUAUUUUUUACUUCUUCAAUCAAUAUAUAACCCUCCAGAACAUACUAAGGCUAUGUUUGGUUCCCAGAAAGUACAAAGGAAAGAAAAAAAAAUGAUAAGGAAAAUGAUUUUCUCAUAUUUGGUUGUCCUAUGAAAAAUAUCAAAGAAAAUCAAAUAUAAUUAAAACUAAUUAAACACUUAUGUAUUUUUAAAUUAUUUAAUCUUUAUAUUGAUGAGUUAAAAUAAAUAAAAUGAGUUUGAAGUAACAAAAAAAAUAAUUUAUCAACUUUUAAUCUAUUUUUUUAUUUUCCUUCACUUUUUCUUUCCUUCUACUUUUCCUUUGUAUUUUCUUUCCCUCGCAUUUUCCCUCAAAUUUUCCGAGAACCAAACAUAGCCUAAGAGUUUGUUUCACAAAGAAACAUUUCUAGCAUAAAAAUAAAAAUUUUAAAAAAAAAUUAAAAAACUAUUUUAAAAAAAAAACAAAAUUUAAAAAUCACUUGUAGUGAUUUUUAAAGAAAUAUGUGAUCGGUGAUUUUUCCAAAAAUAUUUUCAGAUAAAUUACUUUAACUAAAAGCACUUCAGACAUUCCCAGGCCCACGAUGGAAUUUGGUUCUAUAAUUCUAUUAUUAUUAUCUGCUGUUCAGGAAUGUUUUGAUCCAUUCAAAAGGAUAUAUGACUUUGGAAUACACAUUCCACAUGGCACUCAGCUCUUUCUAAUCAUUCCUUCUAUCUCUAACCAUCAAUAUUAAAUCCAUCCUAGUUGCCCUGAGUUUUACUAAGUCUACACAAUAGUGAUUAACGAUACACCCAUGUUGUUGAUUAAAUGUGAUCAUCAUUCUGUUGGUUCAUCAACUGCUAGGCUACAUCCAUUCAUGGGUAUGUUUUUUGCCUUCCAUUUCACAUCAUCGUUUGUCGGUAUGAUAUACUGCAAACGGAAAAGGACUGGUAAAAGACAAGCAAGUUGAAGCACAGCAAUCUUGACGAUGAGCACACAUCAAAAGGUGGUUGGCGCCAAACAUGAAUAAUACAAGCAAGUAGGAAAAUUGCUUCUUGAUUCUAAACCAAUACGCAAAUGACAUGUUGGCUAUGCUCCACCUAAAAUGAUAGGUCACAAGUCACUUCUAUGUGUUGACAUGGCACAUGGCACAAAAGGCUAAUACACCAAUAUCUUUCAUUGGGAAUUCUCUUCUCGUUGUUUUUGUUAACUCAAGGUGGCAGAUUAAAGAGAAAAAAAAAAAAAGGAGAAACAAAGGCAUACAAAUGAUCAACUCUCUGGUAUCUCUGCACCUUUACUAGGGUUCCAGUUGAGAGAGAACAUGUAUUUGAAGAAUAUAUCUUGGGCAGGUACGUACCACAUUUUGUUUGGAUUCAUGUCUAUCAUUGGUUUUGCUUUUGGUUUAUUGUGCAACAUGGGGCUCACUCAUCAAUCAUCAUGCCCGGAACUUUAUAACGAAAUUUGGUCUAUAUAUAUUCAAAUGAAGUUAGAUUUUGUGUUGGAAAUUUGAGGUUGAUUAAUUCCCAUGCAGUUGAUCCUGUAAUAAUGGUAUUUAUGUUUAAGAAAUGAUCUACAAAAUGAAUCAAACUGAUCUCCUAGGUGUAAAAACCGAUAAGAAGCCUAGGCUCCAAAAUGGGUUGAGUCAUAGGAUUGGUAUAAUGUUAGUAAGCAGCAGCCAAACGACACUUGGAAAGAAACAAAGGGUGGGCGAGGUGAUUGAAAGAGAUGGAAGAUGGAAUCUUGUCCAAAUGAUCAGAGCAGAGCCCGUAGAAUGGUCGAGAAUCUCCACAAAGGGCUGCCCCUUUCUCUGUGUUUGUAUGGGGAAGGAGAUGAAAACAACCUGUAAAGCAUAGACAUGACACUGAGCAGAUCGAGCCACGAUAUUCAGAGCAAGCAAGUGGAAAAAGGCAGGAGAGUGGAGCUUCAUAUCAACAUCGAUCCGGAUGGAUUCCAUAAUUCUGGCAACCAAUCCAAGUGCUCCACAUCACAUAUGCUCGCAAGCGGGGGAGAGCACUGGAGCUGACUUACAGAGAUACCCAUGAAUUCUCAAAGGAAUGACUGGAGAAUCCCUAAAAGUUCAGAAAAUAAAACCAAAAAGUUGAAUGAAAAAAUAAGCUGAGAAUAUAUAUAUUAAAAAAAUUUAAAAUCAAUAAUUCUUUUUAAUGCUUUUCCCUGUAAAAUCAAAUAUGAGAGUUAUUUUUUUUUAGUAUUAUUUCUUUUCCGAUACUUUCUAGAAACCAAACAUAAUCUUAAAAAAAAAAAUUAAUGAAAUGAAUGAACAUAUCAAUAAAAUUUACUAACUCUAGAUAAAUAUUUUAUCAUAUUUAAUAUUAUCUAAAUAAUUAUAUAAAGGUGUAACGUAAAAAUAAUUAUUUUAAAAAUAAAUUAAUGUGAAUUUUUUGUUUCAACUCAUGCAUCAUGUAUUAAGGUAUUUUUUUUUUAAUUGAGGAGGAAAACUCUGAGAUAUGUAUGGAUUAUUUUAUUAGAUUGGAGUGAUGGUGUUAUGACUCGCAGUUGAUCUCUGAUCGAAUCAAACGAUUCAUAUAUAAGUUGAAAUCAAGUUAUUGUCUACUCACAUGAUACCAAUUCAGUAUGGAAUUGGUUACGACAGAGAUGGAUACAUUGCGACUAUGACCAAGACGAAUACGUUUCUGCAAACAGGUGCCGGUACCAACCGAUCAUUUGAACCAUGGAUGCAUCUGGUAGGACCAUGCCAUAGGAUGCCUUGAGUUUGUCUGUUCGGAGGAUGUCGAAUUGUGGAGGACCUACUGAUCACGUGGGAGGGGUGAUGAGGCCUUUCGAAUGGGUAUUCCUACAAGACAAAGAACGCUCGUUUACGAAUCUUCUCCAAUCUCUUCUCCACCAAUUAUCGUUUAUCUCUCACGUGGGACUUCUGUCCUCACCCUCCAAUCACCCCCCUUCACCCUAAUCAUAUAUUCAUUCGUGACUUCCCGGACUAUGCACUCCUUGAUCAUCAGGCUCCUACCAACUCCCUCAUUCUUCUUCUGUUUCUCCUUACUCUUGAUUUUUUCUGCUUGGUUAGGGUUGAUACUUGGUUUUCAGAGGUCACGGACUAGCAGUUAUGGGGGACUCUUCUGCUUCAUACAUACAUAUGGUGACUCAAAUCAUAUGUAACAUCAUUUUUCAUGCCCAGGUCUCCCAUAUUUGAUCUUGUUUUUGCUGAUAUGUAUUGGUGGGUUGAAUUGCAGGUACAACACCUAAUAGAGAAUUGUUUGAUCUUCCACAUGAGUAAAGAAGAGUGCAUGGAAGCCCUCUCCAAACAUGCAAACAUCGAACCCGUCAUCACCUCUACCGGUUAGUAUUUUUCGAGUUUGUUUGAUGGUGUUUUUAAAAAACGGUUCUAAUUUAAAAAGUGUUUUUAAAGAAAAAUUAGAUAUUCAAUUAUAGCGUCGAUUGAUGAUUCUUGGAGAAAAUUUAUAAAAAGAUACUUCUACUAAAAACACUUCAAAGAGAAAUAUUCUCGCAUGCAUGCUAGUUUCAUUAACGGGUCAAAUUUCCUCGACCCAGCAUACUCCACAUCUCGAUAUACCAUCAUGCAUGAGCAUGUGCCCUAUGUCUUCUUUUCAUCAAGUAAAUGGCAUAUAUAGUGGUUGCAUUAUGGCCUCUAGAAAAAGUUUGUGCAUGCAGUGUGGAAUGAAUUGGAGAAAGAGAACAAGGAAUUCUUUGAAGGCUACAACACUCAAACUCAAACUAAGGACGACCGUCUGUCAGAGGCAGAGACCGACGAAUUGAUCCAAAAGAUGAUAUCAGAUUCCACCUCUAAAGAUCACCGGAGCUCCUCCAAAGAUCCUGCAGACUCCUCCAAAGACCCAGACACAUAAACCAUAAUAUCCCAUUGAAAAUGAUCUCUACCCCACAUCCAGAAAAGGGCAGAGACUUACUGUAUAUGGUACAUAAAUAUGCCGCUCAUCCCCUUUGUUUAUGUAUUAUGAACUCAUUCAACAUGCAAUAACCAAUCUCAUUCAGUCAUCUUUUAGACUGCAAAUGGUUUAAUUCUAUUGAAAAUUGCAAGAUGAACCGAAUAGAAGUAAGGAGUGUGACUCCUGGAAUCUUCGUUAAGUCGUGUGUUUUUGUAGAGAUAUAUAGAGAAUGGCAUGUGAUGUUUGUGGUGGAGCGAUCAUAGAUUCAUAUGACAUAAAGUGAUGGCAACCGUUUUUGGGAUUGAAGGAAUGGCCUGAAAUGACUGCCUCUGAGCUCUCACUUCAAUCUGUUGUCUUCCAUGCCCUCUACCUCUUUUAUGUUGGGCCGUGGGAUUACAGUGAAUGGGUCAAUGAAUGGGACUUGAUGUGUAAUAAAGCUUCUAAUUUUUAUUUUUUUUUCAUUUUUGAAACUCCUUUUUAGAUGAAUUUUCAACCAUGCUUUAUGGGUAGUUUACAUACUGCUCAAAAGUCAGAAGGCGUAGUGGUGUGUUUUUCUUACUUUGUCGAUGUGGGUUUUUCCAUUUUCAACUUUUUUUUCCCCCCUAAAACCUUGUUUUCCCUGUGUCUUUAGUUUUAUAUGGGGGACACAUAAGAAUCUUUCAAGUCUCUUUUAGGAUACCCUAUGAUGUGUUCAGCACAAUGCCUAAGAACCCAACUCGAUCUUUUGUUUGGUUUGAGUCAUUGCCCCAUAGUCCCAAUCUUUAAUUUCAAAGGAAAAAGAAAAUGAGACUUAUCACUUACAUCAAUAGGAACUGAUUGAAUAUUCUGGUUCAAAAUUACCACAUGGAGCUAUGCAUAUAUGGAUGUAAAUCAAAAUAAAUCUAAGAUUUGAGAAUUUUCUUCUAGAAAGGUUUAUAAUUUUGCAGUUAAUAGAUUCUAGACAUCAAUAUCCAAAGAAUGUGAUUGAUCAAACUGCAUUAGCCCCAAACGAUCGAGCAAUUGAAUGGUGCUUUCUUGUGGACCUCGACACCCUUCAAAUUCGUAAGCUUUUUGGCACAUGGUAUGCAUGUUUAGAUGACAUGUUAUAAUGGGCUUCAACGAAGGCAGCCAAGGAGAUAAAUGUAAUGGUAGGAGCAAAGAGUAAAUAGAACCAUGGCUAAGAUAGUGAUUGAUAAAUAGAUUUAUUAUUAGAGACAAGCAAGCAGUGUAGGGAGUGGGACCAGUGGGUCCAAAAGUCUUGAGAAGCAGACAGAUCCCACAUACCCUCUCAUAACUUAUGAUCUCCUAGCAAUCUCCGCUGCCCAUCCUGCAAUUACGAAGUCCGGUGGUGCCUUGGUUUUGAAGGACUCCAGAGAGAAAACCACCUGCAGGUUAAGAUUACAAAGCUUGAUUAUCAUUAGAAAAUUUCAAACAAAACUUUAGGGUUAUGUUUGGUUGCUAGAAAGUAGGAAAGAAAAAAAAAUAGUGAUUUUCUCUUAGUAUAAAGCAUAAAAGAUUGAUUUUCAGAUUUUUAAUGUAAAAUACAAACAGGAAAAAAAAAAAUAUUUUCUUGUUUUGUAAAAUGACCCAUUUCUAGGAAGUAUUUUUGAAAACCAAAAAACGUGUUUCCAAACAUGUUUUCCUCCAACUUUCUAUCUUUUUUUCUUCUCCACAAGAGGCAGGAAUCCUCAUCUCCACAAAAAAGCAAGCAUGAAGUUUAUUUCUGUUGUCUGCCACAACAACAGGAAAGAAAAUGGUUCUAGUUCUCAUUUUCUUUUCUUCUCCAUUUUCUCAGCAACUAAAUGCAUCCUUAAAAACCUCCAAUUGCAUAUCAAGCAACUACCCAAAAAAAUCCAUCUCAAUGAUACUAGUCCAUUUGACCAUUAUUUUAGGAACACUUCCAAUAUUUGUAACGUUUCAAAAAGUUUAUAAUUCAAGUGAUAGAAAGAUUAAAAUGUUUCAAAAAUUUUAUUAUUAAGUGAUUGAAAUAUUAAAAAUAUUUUUUAGAAUCAUUGAAAUUCACUCUGAGAAUGCAUUUCACAGUGAUUCGGGGAAGUAUUUUUAGUCUUUUUAAUACUUGAAAAUUUUUAUUUUUUAAGUAUUUUUCAAGUAUUAUAAAUGUUAAAAACUGUUGAUUUAGGUGAAACGAUUUAUGGUGAAAAUUAAAGAAAUCGAAAAGAAUAAAAACACACAGAUUUAACGUGGUUUGGCAAAUUACCUACGUCCACGGGAAUAAGGAAGAAAACUUUCACUAUGUAUCAAAUUAGGGUUACAUAAAAGGGUAUUUAUACUAAUCCUCAGGUAUUGAAAUUUCAAAAAUACCACUGAACGCCCCCUGCACCCCCCCCCCCCCCCCCAACCUAUCGUUCGCCCACAAUAAAAAAGAUACAGGCUUGAAUGACAAAUGUCAUCACUCCGACAUUUGCCUUCUUUUUUUCUCCAUAUGUCUUUCACUUAAUAUGAGCCACAUACUACAAUAAUCUCAACCUUGGCGAAUAUUCACUCCCUCCCUUAGGAGACAAGAAACAUAGCUUGUAACUCCACCUAGGACCAUAGGUUGGGGCAUUUCCUAUCUAGCAUUUGGAGACAUUAGCCAAGUUCAAGCAAUGCUUGAACUUUUUGUGGUAAUAGGCUUUGUCAACAUGUCAGUUUCAUUCUCAGAGGUGUGAACCUUCUCAAGUAACAAUUCACCAGAAGAAACCAAUUCCCUAAUCUUGUGAAACCUCACAUCUAUGUGUUUGGUCAUUGCAUGAUACACCUGGUUCUUUGCCAAAUAAAUAGCACUCUGACUAUCAUAAUAUAAUUGAACUCCACCUUACUGAAUACCCAACUCCUUGACCAAACCUGUAAGCCAUAAUGAUUCCUUUGCAGCCUCAGCUAUUGCCAUAUAUUCUGACUUAGUAGUAGAUAGCGUGGUAGACAUAACCUGUGGUAGACCUCUUGUUGAACAUGAUGCCAUAGUCUAUAGUACCCCUUAAAUAUCUAAAUAUCCACUUGACUACAUAGCAACCCAUUCUUCCCAGAUUUGAUAGAAACUUGCUCACCACACUAACAGCAUGUGCCAAAUCUAGUCUUGUACAAACCAUAGCAUACAUCAAGCAUCCCACUGCACUUGCAUAUGGAACCUUUGACAUGUCUUUCACUUCAUCAUUUGUCUUUGGGCAUUGAUUAGUAGACAAUCUAAAAUGAUUUGCCAAAGGUGUACUUAUUGGUUUUACGUUAUCCAUGUUGAACUUCUCCAGCACUCUCUUGACAUAGCUAUGCUGAGAUAACCAUAAUCUCCCUAAAGCUCUAUCCAUGUGAAUCUCCAUCCCGAGGAUUUUCUUGGUUGCACCUAAAUCCUUCAUGUCAAAUUCCUUGCUCAACAAAUACUUCAAUUUAUUGACCUCAAUCAUACUUUUUGCAACAAUUAACAUGUCAUCCACAUAAAGUAAUAGAAAAAUAGACGAAUUAUCAUCUAGGCUAUUUACAUAAACACAACAAUCAUACUCACAUCUCUUGUAGCCAAUCUUGAUCAUAUAGGAGUCAAACGGGACUACUUCAACCCAUAAAGUGAUUUCCUUAAUUUAAAGACCAAGUGUUCUUGUCUAGGUUGAAUAAACCCUUCUGGUUGUACCAUAUAGAUCACUUUGCUCCGGCAUUUGUCCCCUUUUUUUGUCCUGUCUUUUACUUAAUAUGAGUCACAUACUACAACAAAAACACUUUUGAAAAUCACUAUAAAAAGCACUCUUCAUCCUAGACAACACCAUAGGAAACAACAACAAAUUCUUUGGAAAAAAUAAAAAAUAAAACCCCUUGUAGGAUAAAUAUUCAAUCAGCGCAAGCACUACACAUACUCCCAGUAAUGACAUCAGAGUCAGCCACCCAUUUACCAUCCACUUUGAUCACCGGCACCUUCCCUUCUGGGCUCACCUCGAAAAACCUAACAACAAUCAUCAUCAUCAUCCUCGUCAACAAACCCAAAGCCCUUGAAAAUGUUCCUCGUCCAGAGUCAUCAGAAUCCCCUGGCUGAAUGGACCUUAAAACAAACCAAAACCCAUCAUCACGCACAAGUCAAUAGUAUAUAACAAACAAACCAGACAAAGAAAUUCUAGAGGGAGAUGACAGUCUCCAAGAAGAUCAGGAGCACCGGCAGCAGCCUUAACACAGAGUUCCCAGACCAUUGUUUGGGUACUGAGAAAAUGGGAGAAAAAUGAGAGUAGAGAGUGAGCGUGAGGUGAGAGCGGAGAAUGGUGAUUAACUAUGCAUGUUGUGCUGUCAUUGGUAUAUAAUGCCUUUGUGAAGGGUAAUUUUGGACUUUUGGGUCAAUGUUCAAAGACUUUUAAGCCCCUCUAAAAAAACCAUGAAAUAAUUUUCAUAAAUAUUUAUUAAAAUAUAAUAUUUUUUAACUAUUUCUAAAUUUCCAACACUUUUAAUUAUAAAGUUUCAACAAUUCAAUUAAAAUUAUUUCUUUAAAAGAGAAUUUAAAAAAGACGACUUCCAAUUAAUAUAAGAGAUUUGAAAAUAAUAUCAAAUACAUUAUAUUUCUUAAUAAAUAUUUUUAAAAAUGAUUGUCAAGAAAAUCACCGACCAAGUCAUUUUCCAUCUUCCUCAGAAGAGAUUUUAAAAGCUUGUCAAAACAUUUGAUUUCUGCUAAGAUUACUCUUAUUAUUUUUUUGGUGGGGCAACCAUUUGAUGCAAUUUUUUAAUUUCUGCCAUUGAAAAUCAGAACUAGAAGUAAAAAACUUAUGUGGGGCAUUGUUUGUCAUACGUCUAUGAAAAAAUAGAAACAGUUCUACAAGGAAAAACAAAUCAGGCUGUAGCGAUCUCUAUCUUCAAAUAUUACUUUCAAUAUUCAAAUGUUGAUUUUUGCUACCCCAAGCAUAAAGGGCUGUCCCACAUCGGAUUCUGGGUUCAACAUUACCACAUAGGGCUAAAAAAAUCUAGGCUAUGUUUGAAAGUUGCACCCACGUAUCAAUAUGUUCCAUUGGCACCAAGCCCAACCUAAAGUUGGGUUGGGAAUUCCCAGUGACAAAUAAAAUCCUCAUUUCAAAUUUAAAGAACAUAAAUCAUAUCAUGGGUUAAUUUUAUUGAAACAACUUUAGUUAUUAAUUACCACGGUCCAUAAAUAACUUCUAUAUAUGAAAGUGCUAACCAAAAAAAUUUGAAGGUGACCUAAUAUGUAAAUACACUAAACCUCAAGGGUGUAAAUAAAAUUAACACAUCCUAUUAUAAAUAUUGGGAAGAGUAGCAGCAGCAGCAGCAGCCCUAAAUACUAAAUAGCCUUCAUUACAUGGCAUAUAUGGAGAUGGAUGUAAUGGUAAGGGCAAAAGAGUAGAUACCGUCAUAGCUAAGACUGACUGGUAAAUACAUUUAUUAUAGACAAGCAAGCUGUGAAGGUGGUGGCUCCAAAAGUCUGAGAAGCAGAGCAGAUCUCACAUACCCUUCAUAGCUUUGGUACCAAAAGCUUAUAGUUUAGAACAAUUUCAUGCAUUGACCUUGGGUGCCCAUCCUGCAACUACAUGGUCCGGUGCUGGUUUGGUUUUCUCAAAGGACUCCCGAGAGAAAAGUAACUGCAGGUUAGGAUUACACAGCAUGAUUGUCAGUAGAAAAAUUAAAACAAAACUAAGGGUAAAAUCCGUUCUUUUAAUGCUAACUGUUUAAAGUUCAAACUAACUAGUAUGUAAAAUUUUAAUUAGACUGUUAGAAAGGACACGAUAAGAGAACUGUCUCUGAACCCGAAUCAAAAAAUGCAUAGAGAACUUCUAAGAUAUACAUGACGAUGCCGAAGAAUGUCUUUUUGAAAAGUCAAUUGCAGCCAUUUUUUUGCACUUCUAUAGUACCCAAAAUUUCCCUGAAAGAGGUUAAUCCUGUAGGAUCUGUUAGGUGGUAGGAAGGAGAUUCUGGACAAGUUGCUGCACAGGAAAACCAUCCUGGACGUCUGCAUACGAAACUUUUAAGACAAGCAUGACUUAACAAACAACAAUUUACUUGGAAAUGCCAAUUUUGACAGCAGUGAAGCUUCCACCAAGGACCAAGAAUAAUGUAGAUCCUCCAAACACUACAACUAACCACGAGCUUCACUCCACAAGUUUCAUCACCUGAUCACCACUUUACAUAGGACUUUUGAUAGGAAACAUGAGUCCCUUUACACUUUUUUGCCCUGUUACUGACAUGAAAGGUUCAAACAAUAUGACCUCAAACUACAACAGACCAUAAGAAACUAGGAAUCAUCGCAGGCUGUUUAUCAAACUGCUGAAUGGUUCAAUUUGAGAAAUCAAGAUUACCCAACAAGUUCAUUCCUAUGAAUCUCGAAAUCAUACUCUUAGAAGGAAGACCUCAACACUUUUGAUCACAAUAAAGAGCUCAUUAAACAAUUAAAAUGAACUCCAGAUCAAUGUAAGCAUGUCACUAGAAACUGGCUUUAGGCUGGUAGAAAUGUAACCCUAAUCAUUAAAACAACAUACCAUAAGGGAUUGACUACAAUAAAUUUUUGCUAAAAACUUCAUUAAUGACCAUGUGCAAAUACAAAUAGAGGAGGACGUAUUACCAGUCAAAGGAGUGUCAACAGGGCAUGCAUACCAAUUAUCAUUAAAUGAGGAUACAAAGGAUCAAAUGAAUAAGGAGUAAUGGUAUAUCCUACUCCUGAACUUGCAAUCCUAUCUCAAGCAAUGUGAUACCCACAUGGUUGUGAUCAGCAUCUGAGUGACCAAGGCUCCAGAACAGGAAUGAUAUUGCAACAGAUCCUGUCUAUGGAUGGGAUUAUACCAAACCAGUGACUGUACUACAUUCCCAAUUAUCUGUUUGUACAAACCAUAAAGAUACUAAAUAUAUCCUAAGCAUUUCAAGCUAUAGCUACCAGAUAUAACCUAGAUAGGGUUCUCACAUCCAAGUGAUCAAGCUAGCAAAGCAGUAAUUAUACUGCAUUAAUCCUGGUUUUCUUAGGCAUCACUAUUUUACAAACAUACCAAACAUCAACUAAAUAUUUUGGGCUACUGGGUAAAACUUAGCAUGGAAUAAAAGGAAAUGUUACCAGAGUAACAUAAGCUGCCAAGACGAAAUCACCACCUACUCAUCAAUACAUACAUGACUCACAUCUCAGAGGCAAAAACAGUAAAUUUUGCUCCAGUAAAGAAGUCUAAUAUCAAAAACUAACACAAAUUGUCCAGACUACAACAAUAUGGCAUACCUUCAUGUAAUUGUGGACAUGAGACAAGCUUUCAGGGAUAGUCCAGUUCUUGUAAUGGCCAAGAGCCACCUGAAGAUGGUACAGCUUUGGGGCCAAACUUAAAUCCACAGCACAGAUAUUUUCCCCAUUGAUGUAAGGACCCUGAAUCAAUCCUCAACAAUUUAGCAUAUGCAUGUCCAAAUGAAUGCACAAAAAAUAAAAAAGAAACCCAAAAAAAAAGAAAAAUCACUCUUUCAGUAUAAUGUGAUUGUAUUUCAAAUAAAUAUAGUAUAAACACAUACAUGAUCCUUAAGAUGGUCAUCCAAGGCCUUCAAUUCAUCCAGCAAAGCCUGCUCUGAACCGUCAUUAGGAUCCUUGCUCUUCAAGAACUUGACAAAAGCAGGAAAUAUUUUAGAUCCCCUGGAGCAUAUCAGAAGAAAAAAAAAACCCCUCAGUAAUUCCAAUUUGAUUUCAAGAAAACCAAGAUUAAAAAAAUUCCAAUCCUACUAUUUUCUAUUGUUUAGUCCACAAUAAAACCCAAAUAAUAAUAACAACAACAAUAAUAAUAGUAGAGACAGGAAAUAACAAUAAUUGCACAAGACUUAGUUCAGCUGAAUGAAUAGGUCAGUUUGGUAGCAUCAAUGACAAUAGCUACUACAUCAACAUUCUUAUUUUCCAAAAUUAAAAGGAUGAAAUGCUGGUCUUCAGAUUAUAAUAUUAAAUGCUUACAUUUUAGAAGCAGGAAAACAUAUAAUAUUUUUCUUGUUUUCUAAAAUGACCCAUUUUUAAAACCAAAAUUCAUGUUUCCAAACAUGUUUUCCUAGAACUUUCAUCUUUUUUAUCUUCUCCAAAAGAGACAAGAAACCUCGUCUCUACUUCGAAACAAGCCUAAAGUUAUUUCAUUUGUCUGCCACAACAACAGAAAAAAAAUGGCUUUAAUUCUCAUUCCGUUUUGUUUCUUCAUUUUCUCAGCAAAACUCCAAUUGCAGAUCAAGCAAGCUACCAAAAGAACACAACUCAAUAACACCGCUUAGUCCUCCCGGCCAACAUCCAUUGGAAGCAGCAACCAAUUCUAUGGGAAAAAAGAAAACCCUUAAAAGGAUGAACAUUCAACCAAGCACUACACAUACAAAAUUGUCAAAAUUUUUCUUGAUCCAUCACCAAAAAGCACAUAUAUUAAGAAAUGAAACAACUAGAUAAUUAUAUAAUGCAGCUUCUAUAGAAGAUAAUCGGAAAAAAGAAAACCCUAAUCAGAUGAACAUCCAAUCAAGCACUGUGGAUGUAUCACAACCAACCAAAAAAGGAUAGAACAGGAUAGAAAGUAAGGCAUAAGAUAUAAAGGUAUAAAAACUACAGAAUCAUACAACUGCAACUUUUACAAAAUUUUCAAACUAAGUCUUGCCAUUAACUGAGAGAGUGUAGGACGUUACACAGACGAAUGUUCAGGAGGAGGAGCGAGAGGAGGAGAUGGAUGUUUUUCCUCAAGAACCCCAGUAAUGACAUCAGAGUCAGGGACCCAUUUAUCGUCCACUUUGAUCACCGGCACCUUCCCUUCUGGGUUCAUCUCCAAAAACCUAACAAUAAUCAUCAUCGUCAUCAACCACCACCCAAUUUGGCUCACACCCUCUCAAAUCACAAAUCACAAAUCACAACAACCCAAAGCCCUCGAAAAUGGAUGGAAAUACACGUACCAUUGGGGCUUCUCGUUAACAUUGAUCAGAUGCAUCUUGUAGGGCACCUUCUUCUCCUCCAGAGUCAGCAGAACCCUUUGGCUGAAUGGACCUAAAAACAAACAAAAACCCAGUGUCACACACAAAUCAUAGUAACAACCCAGAGAAAGAAACUCUUGAGAGAGAGAUUACAGUCUCCAAGAAUUUCAGGAUCACCGGCAGCAGCCUUAACACAGACUUCAAAAGACAUUGUUUGGGUGCAGAGAAAAUGGGAGAAAAAUGAGAGCAGAGUAUGACGUGAGAAGAGAGGAUGGUGAUUAAUAAUAAGGGUAUAUACUGCCUUUUUUAUGAGUGGUAUUGACCCUUUUGGGACUUUGUUAGAAGACUUCGGGGCUCUCCGGAAAUUUCCAGUGCCUUCAGUUUCAACUUUCAACAUCAUCUUUUUAUUUCUCCACCAAAGGAAAUAUUAGAAAUAUAUUAAGAAUAGUAAGAUCAAAAACUUCACUUUAUGAAAAAUCUUUUGCGAUUAAAUAUUCCUAGUUUUUUUUUUUAUAUAUACUUUGAAACUUUUUAUUUCUCAAUUAUUAGAAAUAUUAAAAAUAUUUUCUAAAAUAAUUAUCAAAUACAUUUUAAAAGUCUAAUUUAAAGUGAUUUUUAAAAAAUUAAAAAUGUUUCUUAAUAUUUUGAAGUGUUAUCGGGUAAAAAUUAAGUAUUUGAUAAAUUUAGGAAACCAAUUCAAAUCAUUUUUAUACAAUUAUUUAAUAGAUGAUUUUUUUCCAAAAAAAAAAAGUUAUAUAAUUUAUUAAGAAAAUAUUAAUAAAAUAUUUUUAUAACUCGUUUUUUUAAAAAAGAAAAGAAAAAAAUCUAUAUAAUUUAUUAAGAAAAUAUUAAUAAAAUAUUUUUAUAACUCGUUUUUUCAAAAAAAAAAUUAAUGGAAGCUAAUAAAAGUUAUACAUAAUAAACUUUCAACCCCGAGCUUGUUUAAAAGUGAUUUUGAUUAAAUAACUUUUAAUUUAUAGUGUUUUUUAAAAGUGAUUUUGAAAGAAUUACCGAUUAAGUGAUUUUAAUUACUUCAAGUGUUUUUUUUUAAAUACUAAUCAUUUUUCAAAAAAUCAUUUUUUAUUAAAUAAUGUAUCAUUAAGAAAAUUACCAAAAAUAAAAUUUUAAAAUCUUUUUUGAUUUAUAAUUAAAACUAAAUUGAUUUUCUUUUUAUAAGAUUGCUAUAAAAAAAUAUUAAAAAAUAAAAUAGGGGAAGAAAUUUCUAAAGUAUAUAGCAUUUUUAAGUUAUGAGAUGCAAUAAUAAAUAAUGUUUAUAUAGGAACAAAUAAUUCGUUGACUUUAAACCCAGAGUAUGUCUACCUCACAAUCUUAAAAAAGUUUUUAUUAGUGGAGGAAUUUUAAAGAGAAAAAAAAAAUUCCCACAACAUUAUUAUUAUUAUUAUUAUUAUUAUUAUUAUUAUUAUUAUUUUUCUCUAUAAAGACAUGUGAUGUCCCAUAGUCAAUACAAGUAUUGGGAUCAUCCCAUUGUCUACUUUUGGAAGAGAAUUGUUUCUUUUGUAAGUAUAUUUCCUAGGUUUCACUUUAUAUCUUAGUCAACAAAAACCAAAAUUUGAAAAGGCAAGAGAUUUGUGAAGUGGAAAUUGAUGCAAAUCACAAUCAUGGUACCACCACCUCUCUAUGCCAACUAGCUGGGUUUUGCCAUUUUUCUAAUAUAUCCCAUGUAAAAUUUGAUUGAAUUUAAUACAUUUCAUUCAAAUUUGAUUGGGUUUUGUAGCUUUGAAUACUUUGUUGAAGGAAAGAACUAGAGAUUAAGGCAAUUUGGGUUAUUAGAAAUUUUUGACAGGCAAAUAAGAGAUUAUAUUAGGAAAGCCUAGCAUAGGUGAAAAGAAAGAAAAACUUUUCUCCUAUCUAGACAAAAGCCACUUUAUAAAAUCAAAUAAGAACAAAGAAUGAUCCUCUAAAUACACCCUACUCCAAUUCACAAAAGUGUACAAAAAAAAAAAAAUUUUAAAGCUUGGUCGGAUUGUUCAGUGUCAUUGAACACUCUUUCAUUUUUUUUCCUUCCAUAAGGUCCAUAUUAAACAAAGGGAUAGUCCUCCAAGCCUUUUCCUUUCUCUUACUCACAAAAGCACCAUGUCAAGCUAUCAAAUUCCUUUUGAUUGAGGAAUGUAGGACCCACUACACAUCAAAAAGAUAGAAAAGUAACCUUUAUAGCAUUGUAGUCUUCUUACAAAAAAUGAUCAAGUGGUCACUAAUUUCCUCUUCCAUUUUACAUAAAUAACACCUAUUUGGCAUAUUCCAACCCCUUCUUUUAAGCUGAUCAAUGGUCAAAAUUCUGUUCCAAGCUAACUCUCAUGGGAGCCCAGGAUCUCCAAAUAAUGCUCCAAGGAAUAAGUUCACUGGAGGCAUGUGUGAGGGAACGGUAGAGAGAUCUAACAAAAAAAUGAAUCAUUCUUACUAAUCUUCCAACUCAAAACAUCCUUCACAUCACUAUACAAAACCAAAGGAUGAAUUUUUCGGAACAAACCUCUACCUCUUCUAUUUCCCAAUCAUUAAAGUGUUUUGAGAACAAAUGAUUUCAACUUCCCACCUCUCCUCCCUCCCAAUCGUUAAUGGGUUAUUGGAAAUUAAAGGAAAAAAAUUUAAAUUUGUUAACCAAAUCACACAAACAUAACAACAAAAAAUAAAAAGGGAACUUGAGAUUAUUAACAUGAUUCAACAAUCAAUAUGAUCCCUAGAUUUUCUAUGUUCAAAAAAUGUAAUAAUAUUCAACAAUUCACUAAUCAAAAUAAAACAAGAAAAGUUAUAAUGGUAAAACCUUAGGAAAAAAAAAAACCUCAUCUCAAUUAUCGUUACACUCUCUAAAAAACCAUUUGAAAUAUAAAAAUGUUAAAUAUAUAAUAAGAACAAAUUCAUUAGCUCAUCAAGCUAAUUGAAUAACUCAAUCUCUAGUAUCUCGAGGGAAGUGUAAUAAAACUAAUUCAGAUUUUACAAUCCAAUAAAAUUUACCAAAUGUAAUUAAAAUUUUGAAAUUUAACAUAGACCUUUAACUCUUAUAUUUGCUUUCUAAUUUUAAAACCCAAAAAUAGAAAAUUUAAUCGAAUGAGAAGGUACAACAUUGAAUUUGUGUUGAAUGCGAGAACAAAAAUUAAAACCUUAUCCGAGUUAUAAAAAUACGAAUUAUUUAAAAAGAAUUAUAUAUCUUUAAAAUUUUUGUUAUUAUAUACACAGAUUAAUACACUAAAGCAUCAUAGAAAAUCGUACUUAAAUUUCCAAAGAUCGGGGUCCCCGCCCAUAAACGUGUCUAGGUCAAUGAUUAAGGCCUUUAGCCAUGUGGCCCUAUUGCUGGUGAGUUGGGACCCGCUUCGUUGAAUGUUUGGGCCUGGGCCAUAUCAUUUGCCUUGUCGUGCGAAAGCCACGUGAGUCCGUGACCAUGUUUUGGCGUGUGGGUCAAAUACUAUUGAUCGCGUCAUUUUUGGACUCUGGAAAUUUGAAAACCUAGAACCACUAUUUCCACCCAUAACUUUUGCUACUUCUAGUGUCCUCUAGUCGAAACCUUGGAAGGAAGAUCAUUUAUUUUCACGGAAAUUUUAAGGAACAAAAUACCUAUUUUUAUUCUUGUAUUAUCUAGCUAAGGAAAUUAUCUUUUAUAUUUUAAAUUUUAAAUAGAAUUUUAUUGCUAAAAAUAAUUGGGAGAAUUAUGUUUUGGGGGUAUAUGGGCCCCCAAAUUAACAAAAGGUCCAUGUAACUCUUCAAAUUGAGCCCAAGACCCAAUGAAAGUAUGGAAAUUGAGUUGAAAGAUAUCAUCCUUCAGUAUUUCCAAAAAUGCCCUUUGUUGAUUUUGAGAAAAAAAAUUAAUAUUUUUGAAAAAUACUUUUAUUUAAUUUAAUAUUUUUGAUUUAAUUUAAUAUUUUUAAAAAAUGUUUUUAUGUAAUUUAAUAUUUUUUAAAAUACUUUAAUUUAAUUUAAUAUUUUUUUAAAAUAAAUUGAUUUAAUUUAAUAUUUUUUAAAUACUUUAAUUUAAUUUAAUAUUUUUGAAAAAAAAUUAUUUAAUUUAAUAUUUUUGAAAACUAUUUUUAUUUAAUUUAGUGUUUUUGAAAAAAAAAAUUAUUGAAAAAAAAAUAUUUAACUUAAUUUUAUAAAAUAUUUUAUAUGUGUUCUUAAAGGGUAUAUUUGUCAGUUACUAUUUCAUAUCCUUCAACUCAAUUUGAAGAGUUUUAUGGAUCUUUUGUUAAUUUGGGAGCCCAUCUACCCCCAAAAGAUAAUUCUCUCAAAAUAAUUUUUAAAAACUAUUUUCUUGCCGAUGAUUUGUUCAAUUUUUUAAUUAUUAUUGUAGUUGAAUGUUAUGAUUAUAGACCUAAUAAAUAAUAAUAAAGACUAAUUUACCCUUAUUUCUAAAAAGAAAUAAAGUAAUUUUAAUAUAGUAACUAAAUAAUAAGGGAUAUAGUAACUAAAUAAAUAAAUAUAUAGUAACCAAACAUAUUAAUAACUUCUAACAUCCCCCACAAACUCAAUAUGAUUGUAAGCAGUAUCGAAAGUUUGUCAACCAAAAAUUGAAAAUAUGGAAGCGAGUAUGAUUUGGUAAACAACUUCACAAUCAUAUUGUUGAUAAAAUCUCUUAGUAACCAAACCAACUUUGUAUUGCUUAAUCAAAGUGUCAAACAUCAAAUAUUAGUUUUAUACAAAGCAGAGAGUUCCUUAGUCAUAGCUUGGGAGACGUCGAGAAGAACAUGCAAGAGGAUAAUCAACAAUCUUAGAAGGUGUUUGUGUAGCUAUAUGAGGAAAGGAAGGAGCGUGACAGUAAAAAACUAAAGUACUAAUAUUUGCAUGAAAACAUUCUGUAUUAUCCAAUGAAUGAUCAAUAAGAAGAAGUUCAAACUUAAAGACAUCAUGAGACUCGGUAGGAAUAGAAAAUAUAUAUGUUCAAGGAAGAAAAUAUGACUAAAAAAGAAAGGCGUAUGCUCAAAGAGAAGAAGUAGUAGAAGACACAAAUCUAAAACCAUUAAGGAAAGAAAGAUAGAAGAUAUAAAAUUGUCAAAAACAAGAGAUUAAGGAAAAUAGACAAAAGAAGAUACAAAACCAUAGAAGAAUGAGAGAAACAAAAUUUGAAUUUAUAUCCAACAAUAUAAAAAGAAAGAAAAAUAGAAUUUGGUUUCAUAUCUAACAAUAUAAAAUAAUGAGAGACAAACAAAAUUUGGAUUCAUAUCCAACAAUAAAAAAGAAAAAAAGAAACAAAAUUUUGAUUCAUAUAAAAAGAUAGAGACAAACAUAAUUUGAAUUCAUAUCCAAUAACAUAGAAGAAUGAGAGACAAGUAGAAUUUGAAUUCAUAUCCAACAAACAAACAAAGAGAAUGCAAAAUUACAGUCAUUCUAAAUAUUCCUAGAUUUCCUUGGCAGUUUCAUACUUCGUCAAUCAUAUGUUUAUCAAAUUAUCAAUGGAGUUUUGAUCCAAGUGAUAAUUUUGGAAUUGAUUACUUCCUAAGCAUUUAACUAUUUUGCAUAUUUUUCAUCAUUUUCAUUCAUAAGUUUGCAUAGAAUGCCAAUAAUAUAAUCUCAUAUCUUUGUCAUUUAAAAACUUUUUCAUUACAUAACUUUAAUAUGAAUAAUUUUUUCCAUCCAAUUUCACACUAAUAGAUUGAAGGCAAUCAUAGAAUAAAUACAAAAUCAAAUACCAAGAUCAAACAAAAAAAGAAUUAUGCAUCCCAUGAUCAAACAUGACAAAAAAGAAAAAAAAAAAAAGAAGAAAAGAAUUCCACCAGAACAAAAAUACGAAAACAAUAUAUAAGAUUAAAUUUUUUUUUCAUGAGAUCAAAUGUCUUAUAAAAGAUCAAUUUUGCUAUGAUGCCAUAUUAAAAUCCAAAAGAGAUUCAACGAGAAAGAAAAAAAAGAAAAUCUAAGAUUUCUUAUUAUGAAUUAUCUUUUAAAAUAGGUUUAACAUUAUUAAAAUUUAAAUAGACCUAAUAAAAAAACUAAUUUACCUAUAUGAUAACUAAAUAUAUAUUAAUUAAAUAUAUUAAUAAUUUAUAACAGAAAAUGAGAUUAUCAUAAAUGUUCUUUUAAACAAGUUGUUGUCUACAUAAUACUUACAUAGACAUGUCACUCCUUUUUCACUACUCAAAUUAAUUUUUAAAUAGCUAUAUUUAUUAAUAAAAUAACUAUAUAGUUUUUUCUUUAAAGCAUUUAUUCCCAUUAAGUAUAAAAACAUUUUCUUGAUAUGGUAUUGAUUAUUUUAUAGAGUAUAAUCACAUGAUUUGAUAUGAUCAUAAAUUAUUUUAUUCCAAAAAAAAGAAAUUUCCUAAACAAAAUCGGAGAAGAUAACGCCUAGAUGCCAUUGGGAAAUGGAAGAUGAUUGGGGUGGAGAAAGAAGAAAAGGAAAGAGUGUAAAUAACAAUUCCACUUCAAAGUUCACUGUAGGUGUCAACCAGACACUAGGUCAUCGUCUCCUCGUAUCCACAUAUCCAUUGUCCAAUCAUGUGUUUCUGACGUCAUUAAUGUCGGAUGGCGCGUUUUCUCAGCCUCCAAACAACAACCGACCUACCCCUAUGUAUAUUUGUCUAUGUAUGCAUGCAAGUCAACAGUUUCUUCAUUUCUGAUGACUCUGAUCUGAAUAACCUGCAGUACCCAUGUCAGAAUCGGGUGAUAGAGUGAGCCCACCUUGAAGGUACCUUGACAGAUUUUCUUGAAUCCUUGGAAACAGCUUUCCAUCAUGUGGGUUUUGUUUUUUCCUUGGUCAGGGGUUGUUGCUUUUAUUAAUUGUUGUCAUCGUUAUGAUUCAGAAUGAAGAAGCUUCGUCCAAGAAUACCCUGUUCUGUUGAGGUGAGAGAUUUGAAUACUGAUGAUAUUCGUUUCCAUAAUUGUGUUGAUUUUUUUUGGGGGGGUUUGCGUAUUGGUGAUGGGGUUUUUUGUUGUAGUGGAAUUGGAAUGAUGGUGUCUUUAUUUCAAUGAAAUCAGAUGUUUUUUAUUAUAAUUAUUGGAGAUGAUUGCAGUGUGUUGAUAUUCACUGUUUGAAUUGUCCUUUUUGAUGAUUGUCCGCACCGCCUUUUUCUUUAAAUAUUCCAUACGCUUUAGCUCUUUUAGCUGUUCCAUGAUUCUGAUUACUUGGAUUUUGUUUUUACUUCACAUUUUUAGGUCUUCUGAAACCUGGUUUAGGUAUUUGUAUUAUCUGUCAUAUGGGUUUCUUUUUGUGCUCUUGUAUGUAGCUUGAAGAUGAAAGAAAUGGUCCAGGAAAUGAUUCAAGACAUGAUAUUUCUAUUUGAAAAGGAAAAAGAAAUCGAAAUUAGGUUUUUAUAGACACUUCAUUGAUUGCCUUCUACUUUGAAAUUCAGCCUUCAGUGCUGUUUAUAACUUUAUUUAUUUAUUUUCUUCUUCAUUGAAUGUUUCUGAAAAUAUUAAAAAUAUUUUCCAGGCAGCAGGGAUUCUUGGGGGCGAAGUCACUUUCCCAAAUCCACAUUGAUUUUGGUUCUUGAAGUACGGCUGAUGCAGAGGAAGAUAAGGUAAGUGGGUUCUUCCCCAUUUGUUUUUAUGAGAAACUUGAUUUAUGUUUAUGCCCAUUCUGUAUUUGAUCCUUUGUUUGACUCGACGCUUAUGUAUUUGUGCAUUUUCUGGACAGUUCUUGAUUUAGGUAGCGCUUGUGUUAAGGUAGCUGAAAAUUUGUUGGAAGAGAUGGAAUCUAAGCAAAUCACGUCUAGUGUUAUUGCAAGAUUGAUGGGUCUCGAUGAAUUGCCACCUCGGCAGCCCAUCCAUAAACAGCAAAGAGUGCUAUCUGAGAACUAUCUGAGGAAAACUGCAUCUAUAGGUGUCAGGGAGAAGCGUUCUUCUUAUGAAGGCUGUUCAUUCAGGAUGACCGCUGAAAAGCAUCAAGAAUUUAAGGAUAUUUUUGAAGUGCCAUCAAUACCAAGGAUGGAUAAGCAUCAUCAUCCAUCGCCUCCAAAGGGGAAAGGAUGCUCAAAUUUGACUGGAGGGAAUGUGGCAUUGCAGUUCACGGAGCCAAAAUGUCUAUUGAUGAACGAGACGCUUCAGCGCUCUAAGGAAUUUGAUGAUACACCGGUAGUGCUAGAUUCUAGCAAUGAUCUUUUACUGGGAAAUCUUCAGGAACAAGGUUCCUUUUUCAUUAAGCAUCUUCAUAAUGUGCAAGGUGUUUCUCCCUAUCUCCAGUCUGGUAAUGUUAGAGGCUUAAAGGCAUCAAAUGCUUCUAGCCAUAGAAAAAAUGAAAUAUAUGGGAGAUUGGAGAGGAGAACUGAACAAAGAGAUGCUUUAAAAUCAUUUCAGAAACCUGGGAAUGAUCUUGUUCCACGCUCCCACGAGGAACUUGGUGCUAAUUAUUCUCAUAAUUUGUCAAAGUCUCGAUUGCAGUCAGAGGAUGACAGAUGCAUCUCCCAUACAAGGAUUGUUGUUCUGAGACCAAAUCUUGGGAAGACACCAGAUACAAGAUCUCUUGUUUCAACUACUAGUCAUAAAGGUUCUCAGUCAAGUUAUAGGAGGCAUAAAAAUAUACCUCAUUCUAAAAACGAGGAAAUGCAUGUUGAAGCAAGAGAAAGGAAAGCAUUGGGGAGUGGCAUGGAACCUUUUGGGCAUGGAUCUAGAGUUUCUGGGGAAACUGCAAAUGUAAUUGGCAAGACAAUGAAGCAUAUUGCAAGCAGCAGUUUUACCAAUGUAUCGAGAUCAGGAUUCGGAGGUGAUGACACCUCUUUGAAUGAAUUUGAAGUUAUGAAGCCCUCUUCCCCAGAUUUUAUUAAUUGGAAGAACCGACACCAAAAAUCAUUUUCUUACUGGAAUGGGUUUUCUGUGGCCGGAGAAACCAAGAAGCAACUCUCAGAAAGAUGGAAGAUGACCAAAAGUUGCCAAGAAAUUGGGCUGGUUGGUAGAGGCAGUACCCUGGGUGAAAUGCUUGCCAUGCCUGAUCAUGAAACAAGGCCAAGAAAUUUGGAUUGCAAGCAUGGUAAGAAUAGCCAAAGCAAUCAAUUUGGUGCAAAUGAUGGAGAUGUGAACUUGUGUACUCCUUUGGGCAUUAGCAGUAAGGAUGGUUGGAAGGAUGGAUGUGUCAAAAGUUCUCCAAAAUCCGGAUCUCUUCCUGCUUCUGCUUCCAUUGGCAGUCAUAAACCCAUGACUGGAAAUGAAGUUCUUCAUUGUGAUUGGUAUAUGACACCAGAAGAGGCUGUUGAUGGGGAACCACAAAAAUCAGGGAAGCAGAAUUCUGACUUAAAUGACCGUUCAGGACCCAGAAACUCAAGAUUAAGCUCUCAGAAAUCUGUGUCCAUUCCUUUCUUGGAUUCAGAAAAUAAUCAUACUGCACAAGAAGCUUGUGUGAUCUUGAGUGAGCUGAAGCACAAAAUUGAGGAGAGUAAUCUGUCUGAACAAAGUUAUGGGGUUCCUAAGUUUAUGAGUAGCAGUUGCUCUUGCUCUGAUUCAGAAAGUAAUCACACAGUACAAAAAACUCAGGUGCUUCAGCCUGAGUUGAAUGAUUCAUUUGGACAGAAUUUGCAGGUUCCUGAGUCAUCAAUUGUUAAUGUUGCCUCCAUAAGUGCAGUUGCUGACAUUGUGGCUUAUUCUGAAACAGAGGAUAUUGGUUUGUCGUUUGGAAUCACCAAUGAGCAGCAGUCUAAACCAAUGGCCAGCAUCUUGUUGGUGAAAGAUGGAGAUUCUGCUAGCUGUAACUCAGUUGCUUCAAUUCUGGAGGUUUUGACAAUUCAUUCUUUAAAAUAAUACUUGAAUAUUUAGAGAGGAUAUUUUGCAAGCAUAGUCAUAUAAAUAAUAAACCCUAAAACUGCUUCAAAAGUCAUUCUUUAGUAACUAGCAUUAGUUGUUUUAAUUGGCAAUUAGUGCUCUUCCUGCUUUUGCUCUGUCCCUCCGACCAACCUAACCACCUGAUGAUAAUUUCAUCUCAUUUGAAACUUGUGCACUGCUUGAUUGGAGCUCUUCUGGCCAGGUUCAAGCACGGUUCAUUACAAAUCCUUUAGGCUUUUAGCUGGGAAUGUGGUCUGCUUGAUCCUUAUUAGAUUAGUUAACUAAGGUUAUGCUUUAUGAAAUUAUCUUUCCACUACAUUUUUUUCAAAAUUCCUUGAUCCCUAAAGAGGUAAAACACCUUAAACAUUAUAAUUUCUUAUUUUUAAGUUAUAUUUAUCAUCGAUUAUAAAGCAAGCUGUUGUUAUUGGUUAAUCCAUGUUCUGAGUUUAAGCAAGCCUGGCCUAGCGUUGCUUGGGGAUUCAUUGUUUUAGUACCUAUGAGCUCAAAUGAGCAAUCCUCAUACUGUUCGCCAAUUGAUUUGCUUUAGUUUAUGUCAUCUUCAGCUGUCUGUCAGAUAGUGUUGGCUACAAACCAAUGUUUUAGUGUGCAGCUUUUAGCAGAAAUUUCACCAGAGUUAAUGUAGAGCACCUAGCUUUAUGGAGGGCAGUUGAAUUAUCAUUAGAACCUCAGCAGUUGGUUUUAUCGCCUCUAUAUUAUCUUUUCAUGACUAAUAAGCCCACAGAUAACCUUUUCAGAAGCUUACAAUUCUGUCUUUGAACAAUUGAAGCACUCAUUUUUCUAUGAUCUUUUCUGUCAAAUUUUGAAGAUUUUCAUCCUUCAUAUUUUUGGUAUCCAGUAUCAUGUUGUAAAACUUCCCUGACUCAUAAAGUCAUAAUAUUACAGGAAGGAUCAAUUGGAUCCCCUGGUGGAAGUUCAGUUUCCUCACACUGCACUGGAACAAACCCAGAAUCUUCUGUGAGCUUGGAGGAGGCUUAUCAGCCAAGUCCAGUUUCUGUUUUGGAACUACCAUUCAAAGGAGAGAUUUCAUCUGGCUCUGAAGGCUUUGAGAGUGUCAGUGCUGACAACUGUGGUUAGUGAACUAGAAAGCACCUUCAUUCUCAUAUAACUUUACCAAAUUUGAUUGAUGCAACUCAUUUCAUCUAUGCUUUAUUUGAUAGGUUUACAGAUGCAGCUUCAGCUUCUCAAAUCAGAGUCCCCAGAGGCAUACUCAGAAGGGCCUGGAAUGGUCAUCUCAAGUGAUGAGGACACUGAGGAAGAAUCUAUUGGUCUUUAUGAUGAAAAAAGAGAACCAAGGGGAUUAUCCAAAGCCAGAGAGAGUAGGGAUUUCUCCUACCUAGUUGAUGUUUUAGUCGAGGCAGGUUUUUGUGGAAGCGACUUGGAAAUGGACCUUGAAACAUGGCAUUCUCCAGAAUGUCCAAUGAGCCGUUUGGUGUUCGAGAAGUUAGAGAAGAAGUAUGGUGAGCAGACAUCUUGGAAGAGGUCAGAAAGGAUGCUCCUAUUUGACCGUAUAAAUUCAGGGUUGAUGGAAAUUCUCUGGCCAUGCACAGAGAUUCACAUGUGGAUGGGAUCUGUGACAAAAAGAUUGAGCUUCAAGCUGAGCCAGGAAAUGAUUGAGGAGGAGCUAUGGAAAAUCCUUGCCAGUCAAGAGAAGGAAAUGAACAAGAAUUUAUCUGGGAAGGCAUUGGGAAGGGAAACACGGUGGUUAGAGUUAGGAGACAAUAUUACUAUAAUUGGUAGAGAAAUAGAGAGCUUGUUGCUUGACGAGCUAGCGGCCGAGUUCGUGAGUAUGGAGAAUUUUUGAACCAUAUAUUUUCUAUUCUUUGAUAGGAAAACAAGAAGUGAUUCUUUUUGGAGAAUAUAUUUAUGUACAUAUAUAGCAGAAUAUUUUAUCGAGUGAAGUUUGAGGCAGUUUUGAAGUUUUGAUGUUUGAAGAGGAUAUAUAAAAUUCAGUGUGGUUAUACCAGGAUGGCUUGGAAUCAAUAGACAUCCAUACGAAAAUAUACAGAUUCAGUGGUUUUUUUUGUGCUGAGUGUGGGAAGAUGCUCUUUAGUUCUAGUUGUAUACUGUAUAGACAAUACAUUUAUACCUAUGAUUGAUUCAAUAGUAUGUGCUUGUUGUUUGAUCAUACUUAUAUUUCUCUAUUGCAAUAUUAAUGAUUCUUUUAAAAAGAAGAAAGAAAAUUAGUAAGUACAGCCAUGUUCGUGUCCUGAUAUGCCAUUGCAUUUACUCUUAGAUUAGUUCCAGGUUAAUGCCAGAUGAAAGGAAUCUAGGUAUGCCUGCUGGGCAAUGGGAUAACCAGGAUUGUUGACACCACCAGGUACAGACAAGAGCAUAAUUUAGAAGAGAUUUAUUAGCAGUUUCAACUACAUAGAUGAUGGAUGGAGGAAAUGGGAAGGUAUGGGAAGCAUUAUAUUUUUUUUUUGAUAGAUAAAGGAAAUUCAUUAAAAGCCAAAAGGCUAAAGAGAGUAUACACGAAGUAUACCAAGAUACAAAGGAUCAAGAAACAAAAGGUUCUGACCCUUACUUGGUGGCUAACCAAUUUACAAAAUCAAACAACGAUAAAGUAUGAUCCUUAAUAUAUACCCUAGCCCAAUUCACAAAAGUGUACAAAAAAAUGGAUUUGAUAUCUUGAUCAUUUCUUUCCACAUCAUCGAAGGCUCUUCUAUUCCUUUCUUUCCAAAUAGUCCACAUUAGGCAAAGGGGGGCAGUUUUCCAUGCUUUCUCCCUGUAUGGGAAGCAUUAUAUGCUGAGCUAGUUUUGAAGACGAGUGGGAAAUGUCGUGAAAGCUAUGUUAAAAUGACUUAGAAGUGAAAGAAUAUGACCUUUUUCUCUUCAUUGUUGAUGAAACAUCAAUACUGGAACUUGUUGCAGGACUUUUAGGUGUAAGUUGAACAUGUGGUAUACGCUCUGUGAAGACACCUAAGCCCUUGUCCCUAACCCAACUGUUCCUCUUCAUCCACUUUCGACAAUUGAAUACAGGUUUAGGUGUUCCAACCAAAACACUAACGAAAUACAAGAACCUACUCCAUCUCAUCAGACUCCUGUCCAAAGUUUAAGGUAUAUAUAUAUAUUCUCCCUUACAGACCCUCCAAUCCAUCAUCAGUAGCAAAGAAAUCUUCUUAACUCUCCUCAUCUUCUUGUCCUCUCAAAUGGCAGUUCAAAAACUCGUUUCGUUUUCAGCCAAGGCUGUAGCCUACCUACUGCUCCUCACUGUCACCAUUGCUUUCUCUACCUCGGCGCGAGUUCUUGAGGAGCAACCAGAGUUGCCCAUUUCCCUCUCAGGGGCAUCCAAUUCAGUUCAGCAGCCUGUUGCUGGUGUAGCUCCAAUCGCUACACCUGCAGUGGCACAACCAAACCCUGGUGUGGCUGCAGCUGCUACACCUGCAGUGGCACAGCCAAACCCUGGGGCAGCGGCACAGCCAAACCCUGGGGCAGCGGCACAGCCAAACCCUGGUGCAGCAGUACAGCCAAACCCUGGUGUGGCGGCACAGCCAAACCCUGGUGCAGUGGCAGCUACUAGUGGUGGCAUGGCUCACGAUGACCAUCCCUUGUCCUUCUUUAUGCACGACAUAUUAGGUGGGUCGAACCCCUCAGCUCGAGCUGUGACUGGGAUUGUUACCAACCCAGCAGUCAAUGGUCAGGUCCCUUUUGCCAAGCCAAAUGGGGCACUCCUCCCAGUAAACAAUGGGGUACCCCUCAAUAGCGGUAACAGUGGACUUAUAAACAACAACAACAUUCCAUUCCUCACUGGCCUUAGUGGAAUUACACCUACUGUGAUUCCAAACAACGGCAACAACUUGUUCAAUGGUGGCAAUGGACUACCAGUUGGAAAUGGGGGUCAGUACCUUGCAGGUUCCAGCCUUCAGAAGCUCAUGUUUGGGACCAUGACAGUGAUAGACGACGAGAUAACUGAAGGGCAUGAGCUCGGGUCUGGUUCAGUGGGGAAGGCACAAGGAUUCUAUGUUGCAAGUUCUGAGGAUGGUACUAGUCAGACAAUGGCAUUUACAGCCAUGUUCCAGAGUGGAAGCUAUGCUGAUAGCCUUAGCUUCUUUGGGGUUCAUAGAACUGCUGUCUCAGAGUCUCAACUGGCCAUUAUGGGCGGAACUGGGAAGUAUGUUAAUGCAAAGGGGUUUGCAACAGUCAAGACCAUCCCCCCAACGCAUCAGCAAGCCACAACUGAUGGUGUAGAGACACUGCUCGAGUUCACUGUUUAUGUUACCUACUAAUAUGUUGUAUAUGGAUCUUCAAGUUUGUUGAAAUCUCUGUACCAGAGAUGGAGUUUACCAACUAAUCUCUUUACAGGGCAAGGUUUGGUUUGUUUAUGAAUCCAGAAAAAUGGAAUGGUUUCCAAUUUGUUUCCAUAAAUUUGCUGGCCCAAUUAAUUUCCUGAAUGAAACUUAGGAGAUGGACUAAUAUCCAUUAAUCACUUAAGUAAGAAAUUAAAUUUCAUAAAAUGCUAAAGAAGUAAUCCACCUAAAUCACAUUUGAAUUGCAAGAAAAAUGAAGCUGAGGAAGUGCAUAUGAACUAUGGACUGUCUGCUCUUUUAACUUAAGAUCUCACUUUCCUCACUCAGCUUUAUCAGUCUUCAUGGGUGCAAAGCAAAAAUAAUACAUAUUCUGUUCUGCCUGUAUUAUGACUUAUUAACAUCUGAAAGAAAUAUUAGUGAAGCUGUUCCUCAAUCCUGAUUUCCAUAUGCUGUAUCUCAUGUUCUAAUGUUCAACUUCUAAGUUCUAGCUUGUCUCAUUGAAUGCCCCAAUAUACCUCUCUUGAUAUCCAUGUGUAGGCUUUCUCAUUUGCAAAUUUGCAUUCUUUUGGUUUCUGAAAAAUUGGAUUGGCUGGAUUCUUGGGAAGAUUUUAAAAAGUAUGCUGAUAACCACUGGCUUUAUACCUAUUAGGGUUCUAACAGCCUCUCCGUCACAAUAGAUCAAGGAUCCAAGGGAUCAGGUCUGCUACUCCCAUCAAAGGUGCAGCAGAUGUUUUGUCCACCAGUUAGAAUUGACAGAGAUUGAAAUUUAGAAGAGAUUAAUACCUGUGAUUUUUAACGAAGAAUACAAAGAAACAAGAAUAUGUAAAACUUGAACAGACAAUAUUUGAAGGCUUAAGCAAUGUACUUAAAGAUAAUAGAAGAUGCCCAACCCUCUGUUUCACCAUGUGCCUUUCAAUUUUCCCUUCCUGAGGUUAUCAUUUUUAUUUUAAUAAAACCCCCAAAGCAGAUAUUCCUGGCUUCUAUUUGAUGCAUCUUCAAAACUCAUUUUCCCAGUUACAAUUUUCCUCCAAUGUUAUCCUCACCAUUAUUUUGGUUCCAAGAGAUAGCAUUACCCAGAACUUUCAAUAAGAGCUAAAGGGAUCCCAGUGUUUUUAAUGAUGGAAGAGCAUGUCAGUGUGUAUAUAAGAGAAAAAGCAAAAAGGUGUCAAUCUGACGUUUGAACCUUUUGCCUUUUAUGCAUCUUCCUACUUCUUUAACCUCUUGGACUCUUGGAGAGGGAAGUAGUAGUCUUGCCUCAUUCUAGCAUCCGUUAAGAGUCUCAUUUAUACUUCGAGAUGUUUUGUAACUGCGGUUCCCUUCUGUACCGAAGUUGAUAUUCGAGGAGGACGGAUCAACUAAUUGUGAUUCCCUUCUACACUAAUGUUGAUAUUCGAGGAGGGCAGAUCUACUUUAAGGUAAGUACAUUGUCACGUCUCAGCCAAAUAAUCCGAUAAGUUCCCUACUCUAGUUUUGUUUUGUUUCCUGUUUGUUUGGUCUUGGGCUUAGUUAAUUUGUUUAAGGUUAAAUUCUUGGACUUUUUGAACCAAUUUUUAAUGCCAUUAAAGGAUAAUACUCUCAUUGAAUCAUAGAUUUCUUUAGCAGGCGCAUUUAAACAUUGAUUGCUGAAGGUACAUCAAGUAAAAUAAUACUGGAACUCUUACACACACUAGUCAGAUAGUGUAUAUAUCAAGUUUGGUUGAGAAGAUAGCGCACUAGUGAGAAAGGUAAACAUUGACCUGGAUGACUGUUUCCACUCCAUCGGUCGUAUGUUGAUCUUCCUGAUGAAGGCUCUCAAUGGUGGCAUACCCUUUUGCAUUCUCAUACUCACCAGUUCCACCAACGACUGCAAUAUGAGACACAGGUGAGGCAGUGCGAUGGACCCCAAAAAAGCUAAUGGUAUCCUCUUCUUGGUGAUGAUCGCUGCCAUGGAGCAACACGGUCAAGACCAUUGUGUGGCUGCCACCAUCUAGAGAGCUAGCUAGGUAGAACCCCUGUGCUCUCCCAACCACAGCAGACCCAAGCUCAUGGCCUUCAGUUAGCUCAUCGUCUAUCACUGUAAUCGUUCCGAACAUAACCUUCUGAAGGGUGGCUCCCGCCGGGAGCUGCCCAGCAGUGACAAAGGGUUGGUUGCUGCCACCAUUGACUGGGUUGUUGUUGCCAUUGUUUUGAAUUAUUGUGCUGGUUUGUCCACCGUUGAGGCCUGUGAGGAAUGGUAUGUUGUUGUUGUUAAUGAGGCCAUUGUUGCCAUUAAGCAGUGGAACUCCGCCAUUGAUUGGGAAGACGCCACCAUUGGCCUUGGAGAAAGGGAGACCAUUGAUUUGGGUGUUGGCUGUGAUCCCACUGACCACCCUAGCUGAAGGGUGUGAUCCACCAAGGAUAUCAUGCAUAAAGAAGGACAAUGGAGGGUUUGGUGGGGCAGCAUUUCCCGUAGUGGCGCUAGUGGCAGCAACCGGGGCCGGUCCACUUGGCAAUGCAGCAACUGGACCCGCCACAGGCGCCACAUCAACCGGUACAGCAUCAGGUGCGCCUGCUUCAGGCAGUGGUGGUUCAUCAUCAGCCUCUGUGGGGCUGCUGGCAGUAGCCGGGAUUUGGCCACUUGGUAAGGUGUUUGUGGGAGCCAGUACCGGUGCCACACUGGGCACAAUUGCCGGAGAGUCAUCUGCUUCAGGUGGAUCAGGGAUGACUGGUGGUUGUGGAUCUACCUCAUCUAGGAUCCGGGCCGAGCUGACAUGUCCAAGAGUGAUGGCUAGCAGCAAGAGGUGGAUGAUAGUCUUGGAGAGUAAGAACGGUGUGGCAGCCAUUUUUUGUGAAGAGAUCAGAUUUGGGAGGGUCCUAUUGUUGGGGAAGAGAGCAGACACUCUGUGUGUUUAUAUAGUUUCAGGUGUCUCUAAUGGGAAGUGGGGCUAGUGAGUUGGAGUUGUUUUACUUGCCCUUUCUUGUAUGAUGUGUUGGGAAGCGGGGCUAGUGAGUUGGAGGCUUUACAUGCCCUUUCUUGUAUGAUGUGUUUGGUUGAGAAAACCAACUCCUAUAUGAAUGUAUGAACAUGAUAAGCUCUUGACCACAACCCGAAAAUUUGGCAUUAUCUCAAUGGACUCUUGGUAUUUUGUCUAGAGUCAAUCACAAUGGCCCCUUUGUUGGAUAUGUUUUUGUUUUCAGAACAUAGAAAACAGACAUCAGAUAUUGGAAAACAGAGUUUCUCUGCCACCCUUUUUUCCUUAUGAAAAAAAAAAAACCACUUCAAAGCAUUAAGACAUUUUCUCUACCUAAUGAAAAUGGUGGCCCCUUUGUCACUGAGUGGAAGUGGCACAUGGCCCCUCAAACCUCAACUGUGAUUUUAUCUUCAAAUAUAUAUUAUAGAAACAGUAAUGUAUCUGAGCUCUAAUUAAUCCCCAACAAAAGAUUUAUUCAAAGUAGACAGUACAUUUUGGUUUUCAUUCCAUUUCUGAUCUGUUUUCUAUGAACCUGAAACAAAUUUCUUUGUUGCCUUCUCCAUAAACUUGACAUCUAGGAGAAGUCACCUUUAGAAUUGAAGUGAUUCUAAUCUGUUAUUUUGUGUCAUUAUUUUGAAGUGAUUCACCAUUUUCCAUAAGCCUCUUUGGGAAUUAUCAUAUUGGCUCAGCAGAUUCAGAUGGGGAAAUGCAGAGGCCAAUUCGACAGCCUCGAAUAACAUGGCCUGUCAAAAUUCUCCUUCAAAUGUAGCAAUAUCAUUAGAUAAAACUAUGCUCAAAGACAGUCAAAGGCCCAUAGCUUAAAACCAAUUCAUAAGAGGUAAUGCUAAUCUGUAAAAAAUCAACAAUAUUAGUUUUGUUGACAGCAGGGCAUUUACUCCAUCCUCACAUCAGUUAUGUUUCAGUUUAUUCAUCAGCUAGUUAAGAAUAUGAUUGGUGUAUUAGCCUUCAUUUUUGGUGAAUACAAUAACCAUAUCAAUUCAGUAUAGAUUCUAGUAAAACGCUUCAUUUCACAGAAGGGCAAUCAUGUAUCAACUGGGACAGAAUCCAGAAUUGAUCUCUUAUGAACUUGAUUCAAAUACUACUAAGUCAUUAUCAGCCUUAAUCUUAUCAAAAUCUUUACAUUGAACUCACAAAAAGAGAGAAAAAAAAGGGGGGCUCAUAUUCCUGAUACAUUGUUAUGAUUCUACACAAGAACAAGGCCCUCUCAACUGAGAUAAACAUUGAAUAAAAGGGGUUUGCUUGCUCCUUCACUUCCUUCUGCAGAAGCAUUGAGGCCUGCAGUUACAGCCUUAACCGUGGUAUAGCCAUUGGCACCAUCAUACUUGCCAGUACCUCCAAUGAUGGCAAUAUGAGACUCCGGAACAUCAGUCCUCAACACCCCAAAAAAUCUCAAGCUGUCCUUAAACGCACCCUCAGCAAAAGUCGUUGUCAUCGCCAUCAUAUGGCUGCUUCCAUCUUCUGAGCUUGCAACAUACACCCCUUGUGCUUUUCCAAGCAAUGACGACGGCGUAACUGCCGUGCCUUCAAACAAGUCCUCAUCAAUUAUCAGCACUGUUCCAAACUCCAACUCCUGAAGAGUAGCUAUAGCAGGGAAAGAUAAACUAAUACCCGAUAAAUCGAGUGUUUGAGUAGGCAAACCAGUGGCUGGAGCAUUGGGUCUAGGCUCUGGUAGAGGGAUACCUCCAUUAGGAGGAAAAAAGCCUACUGGUUUUGGGAAGGGCAGCUGAUGAUUGACCUUAGUGGUGGCUGGCCUCCACAAGGGCUUAGUUUUGGUGAGCAGAUUUUGCAUGAAGAAAGUGGUGGUGGGGUGAGGUUUAUGGUGGGUUGGGGGUGGUGGAUUGCCUAGGGUUCGAGCUGAGGAUGAAUGUUUGAUGAUGGCCAUGAAUAUGAGCAACCAGGGUAGGCCUAGGAUGGAGAUGAUCAGCUUGGCCAUUGCGAAAGAAUUUGCUUGUGUUUUGGCUACCAGUUUGUUGAUUUAAGGGGAAUGAGAGCAGGGGAGUUGGUCUGAGUUGGGGUGGUUGGUUUGGUAUUUGGUUGUUAUGCAUCAUUUGUUUGAAAUCCUUGCUCAUGAAAGUAAAAAAUUUGGAGAUAUUAAGAUUGCAUUUAGUAGUGAUUUUAGGAAGUGUUUGUAAUUUUUUUUUAUACUUAAAGAUAAAUUUUUUUAAAUUUUUAAGUGUUAAAAAAACUAGAAACACUUCAUAAAAUCAUUGUUAAACGCAUUUUAAAUCAAAUCCAAGGAAAGAGGAAAAGACAAAAAAAAAAAAAAAAAAAAAGACGUAAAUGAAUUUGAAAUAGAACAUAUAAAUAAUAUAUCGGUUUUAAAUCUAUUUUUUUAUUUUUUAUUUUCUUUUCUUUGCAUUAUUUUCAAAUUUUCAAGGAUGAAAGAUAGCACAACGGGUGUUAAGUAUUUCAUAUGUCAUAAUAGUUAGAUAAUUGAUUAAAAUAUAUAUAUAUUUUAAAUUAUUUUUAGAUAGAUGAAGAUAAUACCGAUUUAAAAUUUUUGAUAUUUUUUUUUCAUAUAUUUUGAAUUAAAACUCACUUUUUCUAAAUAUAUCAACUAAAAACACUUUAAGAAAAAAAUAGUAUUAAAGACAUUCUAAUUUUCGAUAUGAAAUAUUAAUAAAAAUAUUUUAUGGUUCAAAUUUUGUUUUAUAUAUAUAUAUUACUUAACAUAAUUAAUAUUUUUUUUUAUUUAAAAAAGAAAAAGAAAAAAGAAAAAGAGAGAAUUAUUAAAAAAUUAACGUUGUUGCACUUGAGAGUUUAUAAAAAUAAUAAAAUAAAUAAUGACAAUAAUAAUAAAUUAAUGAAUAAUAAAUUCGAAGAGAAAACACACAGAGAGGGGUCUAACUCAGAUGUUGGCGCGGGUUGUCCACAAAUAGCUUGCUAGGGUUAAUAUGAAGCCCACCCUCGUUUCUGCAUCUCCGCUCUGGUCUCUCCCUUCUAAACCCUAAACCCACCGUACUAUUUCAGAUCACUCCCAGAAACUCUAAUUCCAAAACCCUAAUUUCCCACUUUGAACCACUAUCAACCUAAUCUUGUUUCCAUCAUCUCUCACAUUCUCGUUAAGCCCCUUCUUCGCUUUUCCAAAAACACUAGUGUUUUUUUUCUUCCCAUUUUUGUCAAGAUUUGGUUGUUCUCUCUCUUUGUUUUUUGUUCGUUCCUCCAAACCUUCGUUUCGUUGUUAGCAUUUUGUCGAAACCCUAUUGUAUUGACAGCGUUCGUCGCCGUUUUGAGCUAUGUAUCUCUACAGUCUUACGCUACAGCAAGCCACAGGCAUAGUUUGUGCGAUUAAUGGCAACUUCUCCGGUGGAAAGUCCCAAGAAAUUGUUGUUGCCAGAGGCAAAGUUCUCGACCUUUUGCGCCCUGACGAAAACGGUAAGAUCCAAACGAUUCUCUCUGUUGAGAUUUUUGGUGCCAUUAGGUCUUUAGCUCAGUUUAGGCUAACCGGGUCUCAAAAGGACUAUAUCGUUGUUGGGUCUGAUUCGGGUCGAAUUGUAAUUCUUGAAUACAACAAAGAGAAGAACGUUUUCGAUAAAAUUCACCAAGAAACUUUCGGGAAAUCGGGCUGUAGGCGAAUAGUUCCGGGGCAGUAUUUGGCAAUAGACCCAAAGGGUCGUGCUGUUAUGAUUGGAGCUUGUGAGAAACAAAAACUUGUUUAUGUGUUGAAUCGAGAUACAGUGGCGAGGUUGACCAUAUCGUCGCCCUUGGAGGCUCAUAAGUCGCAUACUAUAGUGUAUUCGAUUACUGGGGUUGAUUGUGGUUUUGAUAACCCAAUAUUUGCUGCAAUUGAGUUGGAUUACUCCGAGGCGGAUCAGGAUUCGACUGGACAGGCAGCAAGUGAGGCCCAGAAACACCUUACUUUUUAUGAGCUUGAUCUUGGGCUUAACCAUGUGUCUAGGAAAUGGUCGGAGCAGGUUGACAAUGGAGCAAAUAUGCUUGUUACAGUUCCUGGGGGUGGGGAUGGACCAAGUGGUGUUCUUGUGUGUGCUGAAAAUUUUGUGAUUUAUAAGAAUCAGGGUCACCCAGAUGUACGAGCUGUCAUACCUAGGCGGGCAGAUUUACCUGCAGAACGUGGGGUGCUUAUAGUUUCUGCUGCAACACAUAGGCAGAAGUCGAUGUUCUUCUUUCUUUUGCAGACAGAAUAUGGAGAUGUUUUUAAGGUUACUCUGGAACAUGAGAAUGACCGCAUCUCAGAGUUGAAGAUUAAAUAUUUUGAUACAAUCCCAGUUACAUCUUCAAUGUGUGUUCUGAAAUCUGGGUUUUUAUUUGCCGCAUCAGAGUUUGGAAACCAUGGUUUGUAUCAAUUUCAGGCAAUAGGGGAUGAUGCUGAUGUGGAAUCUUCAUCGGCUUCAUUGAUGGAAACAGAAGAGGGUUUCCAGCCUGUGUUUUUCCAGCCUAGAGGACUUAAGAACCUUGUUAGGAUAGACCAAGUUGAGAGCUUGAUGCCAAUAAUGGACAUGAAAGUCUCAAACCUCUUCGAGGAAGAAACCCCUCAAAUAUUUGCACUUUGUGGGAGGGGUCCACGUUCAUCUAUACGGAUUCUGAGGCCAGGUUUGGCCAUCAGUGAGAUGGCUGUUUCGCAGCUUCCUGGUGUCCCAAGUGCAGUUUGGACAGUAAAAAAGAAUGUCAAUGAUGAGUUUGAUGCAUAUAUUGUUGUUUCGUUUGCAAAUGCUACUCUUGUGCUUUCAAUUGGUGAAACAGUUGAAGAAGUAAGUGAUAGUGGGUUUCUUGAUACCACACCAUCCCUUGCUGUUUCUUUGAUAGGUGAUGAUUCCUUGAUGCAAGUUCACCCUAGUGGUAUCCGACAUAUAAGAGAAGAUGGGCGUAUUAAUGAGUGGAGAACUCCUGGAAAGAGGACAAUCGUUAAAGUUGGUUCCAAUAGGCUUCAAGUGGUUAUUGCCCUGAGUGGAGGGGAGCUUAUAUAUUUUGAGGUGGAUAUGACUGGUCAGUUGAUGGAGGUUGAGAAGCAUGAAAUGUCUGGAGAUGUGGCUUGUUUGGACAUUGCCCCGGUUCCUGAAGGAAGACAGAGAUCUCGUUUUCUCGCAGUCGGAUCAUAUGACAACACUAUUCGUAUCUUGUCUUUGGAUCCUGAUGACUGUAUGCAGAUUUUGAGUGUGCAAAGUGUUUCUUCUCCUCCAGAAUCUCUUCUCUUUCUUGAGGUUCAGGCAUCAGUAGGUGGUGAGGAUGGUGCUGAUCACCCUGCUAGUCUUUUUCUUAAUGCUGGUUUGCAGAAUGGUGUUCUGUUCAGAACAGUGGUAGAUAUGGUGACAGGUCAGCUCUCUGAUGCUCGUUCCCGAUUCUUAGGACUGAGAGCCCCGAAGCUAUUCUCUGUUAUUGUGAGAGGCCGACGUGCAAUGCUAUGCUUGUCAAGCCGCCCUUGGCUUGGUUAUAUUCACCAAGGGCAUUUUCUGUUGACACCGCUUUCUUAUGAGACACUUGAAUUUGCUGCCUCAUUUUCAUCUGAUCAGUGUGCUGAAGGUGUGGUUGCUGUUGCCGGGGAUGCGCUGAGGGUCUUUACUAUUGAAAGACUGGGUGAAACAUUUAAUGAAACUGUGAUUCCUUUAAGGUAUACACCGAGAAAGUUUGUUCUUCAACCCAAGCGAAAAUUAUUGGUAGUUAUUGAGAGUGAUCAAGGAGCAUUUGCAGCAGAAGAGCGUGAAGCCGCUAAAAAGGAAUGCUUUGAGGCUGCUGGAAUGGGGGAGAACGGGAAUGGUAAUGUGGAGCAGAUGGAGAAUGGUGGUGACGAUGAAGAUAAGGAUGAUCCCCUCUCUGAUGAACAGUAUGGUUAUCCAAAGGCAGAGUCUGAUAAGUGGGUUUCUUGCAUCAGAAUUCUUGAUCCUAGGACAGCAACCACAACUUGUCUGCUGGAGCUUCAGGAUAAUGAGGCUGCAUUUAGCAUAUGCACUGUGAAUUUCCAUGAUAAAGAGUAUGGAACUCUUUUAGCUGUCGGUACAGCAAAGUCACUGCAGUUUUGGCCCAAAAGAUCUUUUGAUGCAGGUUAUAUUCAUAUUUAUAGGUUUUUGGAAGAUGGGAAAUCCCUUGAAUUAUUGCACAAGACACAAGUGGAAGGUGUUCCUCUUGCUUUAUGCCAGUUCCAGGGAAGAUUACUUGCUGGAAUAGGAUCUGUGCUCAGAUUAUAUGAUUUGGGGAAAAGAAGAUUGCUCAGGAAAUGUGAGAAUAAGCUGUUUCCAAAUACAAUAGUCUCUAUUCACACUUAUCGGGACAGAAUUUAUGUAGGCGACAUUCAAGAGGUAUGUACGCUAAGAAAGUUACAUCUAAAUUUUUUGGAUUGUCAUUUAUCUCUUUUGGAAUGUAUAUUUAUGUGUGUGCAUUGUGAGAGGGUGGUUGUGGUUUGUCUUGGGUUGUCAGGGGAACAGAUUCAUUUUCCCCUAAUCAGAGCAACUAUCUUCUGUGUGAUCUGCUGGUCAGUAGAAGUCCUUCUGGCGAAGUUUGGACCUGUCUGAAUUGAUGAAUUCACAGAUUUUGGCUGCCAAGCACCUCGUUUUAUUUUAUUUUUUUCCUUUUUGGGUUUGGAAGAGUCCUAUGGAAAAGGAAUACAGAUGUCGCCUUUUUUCAAUAACGGGAGAAUAGAUCAUCAUAUGGUUGAAUGGCUGUGCAUUUAUUUGAAUAAUAGAUCAUUUGGCAUUUUGUCAGAAGAGUUUGAAAAGUAAUAUUGCCCAAAAUCAUCCGAUUACAUAAUCCUCAACCAUGUAGUUAUUUUCUAUUGAUUCCAUAAUUUUAUAGGUAUUGACCUUUUUAUAUUCUGGAAUAUGUCAAAAAGUGAGAUGCUUGCAUAGGCCUUUGUUUUAUCCCUUUCAUUAGUACACUUUUCCCCUUUAAUGAACUUACUGACUGUAAAUCUUGAUGUCAUUUUGCAGUCAUUCCAUUAUUGCAAGUAUAGACGGGAUGAAAAUCAACUGUAUAUAUUUGCUGAUGAUAGUGUUCCAAGAUGGUUGACAGCAUCUUACCACAUAGAUUUUGACACCAUGGCAGGAGCCGACAAGUUUGGGAAUAUCUAUUUUGUGAGGUUGCCUCAGGAUGUAUCGGAUGAGGUUGAAGAAGAUCCCACUGGUGGGAAGAUAAAGUGGGAGCAGGGGAAGCUGAAUGGUGCUCCCAACAAGGUAGAGGAGAUAGUACAGUUCCAUGUUGGUGAUGUGGUCACAUGCUUGCAGAAGGCAUCUCUAAUACCAGGUGGUGGAGAGUGCAUCAUCUAUGGGACAGUGAUGGGGAGCUUAGGGGCAUUGCUUGCGUUCACCUCGCGGGAUGAUGUUGACUUCUUUUCUCACUUGGAGAUGCAUAUGAGACAGGAACACCCACCUCUGUGUGGAAGAGAUCACAUGGCUUACAGAUCUGCUUAUUUUCCUGUUAAGGUGAACUCUUUGCUUCAUUGUCCCCUCAAAUGCACACAUUUUUCACAUUGCCAAGUCACCAUAGACCUACUAUAAAUUUCAUUAUUUUUCUCUUUUCUCUUUUCAUUUUAUUUUUUGUUUUUGGUUUUGGAUUUUGUUCUUUUUGUUUUUAGUGGGGAGUUGUUUAUUCAACAAGAACCCUGGACUGGGAUCUAUCAGGGUGCUGAGACUUUUGAUUUUACUUUCUCUUUGGGUUUUCAAGAGUCUAAAGUUAGGCAAUUUCAUCCAAGCUGCUAAGCUUGCAGCUUAGGUCUUGCUUUUGGAUUAGUGCUCUUAAUUCUAUGAGGGUGUGAAUUGAUAUGUUGAAAUAUACAGACUCUUCAUACAUGCAUAUGUACAUAUACAUAUACAUUUAUAGCAUGAUGUUUAAAAUGAAUGAGUCUAUUGAUUAAAUUGAUUUUCUUUGGGAGGGAGGUGGUGGAAGAGUAUAAAGAAAUAGCAACUGUUAGGCAUCUUAUCAUCAUUUUGUGUGUGAAUUCUACAAAACUGCAAUUUCAUUUGAAAUAAUUAUUCCAUUUUAAAGUAGAAGAACAAACAAUUUCAUCCCUUCAGAUACUAUGGGUGGCAUCGAAUGAUUGGGAUUAAUGGAAUGUCCAAAGACCCCUAAAGUGCAUUUAGGCAUUUGAUUAACCAGCAAUUGUGGGCUAAGACAAGCUCCAUUUGUGCACUGUUGACCAGGACUGAACACAUCUACUACCAUUGUUGCUGCUGCUACUACUUAUGAUAACAUUUUCUUAUUUAAAAUGCUUGGUGAUAAGCAACAUGCAUCAUGUUCUUUCUAUUUAUGCUGAAUAUAGAAAUAUUUUAAUUUUUCCCACUUAGGUGCUUGAAUUUUUGAGUCAGUAGUUUUAGUUGGUAAUGGCCCCAACUUAACACUUUGUGGAAUCACCCUGCAGGAUGUGAUUGAUGGGGAUCUAUGUGAGCAGUUUCCUACACUGCCUCUGGAUUUGCAGAGAAAAAUUGCGGAUGAAUUGGACAGAACUCCAGGGGAGAUACUGAAGAAACUUGAAGAAGUUCGAAAUAAGAUCAUUUGAGAAGUAUCAGUUCAAAGGUACAUCAUUUCCUACCCCAGCAACUUGGACAUGCCCUUUCACCUGGAUCAUAUUCUUUUAUUUUAUGAUUCCUCUAAAAGAUCAUGGUGAGGUGAUUCCCACAAGCCUCUCAUGGGUACUGGAAUAAAUUUCUUGAUGUUUCUUUGCAUGAUCCUAUAUUUUUAGCUAAGAUCUGUCUAUUUUAUUGGAACUAAACAUGAAAGGGCUCCAAACAAUUAUCAUGAAUCUGUGCAAUUUUAUUUCUUUGAAUAACUUUAUAUUUAUCUCUGUUUGUUGCUUUGUCCCUGCAUUUCAUACAUACAUACAUUAGGCUUCUUUUCUAUUUUUUCUGUCUUUCGGAUUACCAUAACUCAUUUCCUGAAGAAUUAUUUGGAUUUGGCCUCUGUUGUGUUACACCCAAUAACAAUUCACAUAUGGUACUGUUUGGAGUUUGAAUCUUUAUUAUCAUUGUGCGGACACUCAUCAGUAAUUCGGUUUUGUAUCUUAGGUGCUCUCUUGAGUUUGUGUUCAAAACGGAGAAACGCCGUAUGGAGUUACACUAACAAACGAAGCAUGCUAGUUGUUCCUAGACACUAGAAUAGAUAAUCAGAAGGCCAUGAGACACCUAUUUACAGAUGGAAAAAAAUCAGCGCCUGGGAAAGCUAGAAGUGCUGGGAAAGAAACCCCCCGAAAAAAGGAAUAGCUGCAGCUCAUUAGGCGAGCCUUCCAUUUCUUAUGUUGUAAUUAAGCAAUAACAGAUUUUAUUAGGUCUUUCUUUUUGUGGAUUUGUUGUUGAUGUUGAUCCUCAGAUUCCGUCUCUGCAUACUCUCAUCUUAUUCUCUGGAACACUACCUGUCCCAUUUCCUCUGCAGAAAAUAGAUGUUUAAGAUUUUCUUACUAACCAACCAGGUGAUUGAAUGGCCAUGAUCUCCAUCCUCUGUUUUCAUAAUUCUCACCAGCUGCAUGUUGGGAUUUGAAAUCUCUUUUUUGUAUGUGCUUUACCAUGUUUCAUGGGUUGUGGGUUGUUUAAGAAAUAAACCUAGUUUAGAAUGUAUGCAGUAUGAACUAGGACUUUUUUUUGGGUGGCAAGUCUAUUGUUAAGUUUUAUUUUUAGAUCUUUUGUUUAAACACAAAAAGUCAUUUUUGUAUUGAAUUUUUGACAAAUUCAGACCAUCCAUUUUUUUUUUCACUGAACUAAGAUCUAUGCCAAUGUGAGUUACAAUCCAUCUUUAUACCUAUACCACAGUUUGCAUGUCUAUUAGUCAAUUGAAGGUGCCUUAUUAUUAGUCAAUUGAAGGUAGAAAAGCAUAGGAAAAGGACAACUUUUUGUUCCAUUGGAUAUGGUUAACGAGUGGUUCUUCUUUCGUACUGGGUCACCAUUUCAACAACCGAAUUGCUUCAAAGUCCCUUUUUUUCCUGGGUCAUAAUCCUUUUUUUUUUUCUUUCCUACAUAUAUUAUCAUAAUUUCCAUGAAGGAUUAAAUUAAAAUUAUUCAAAUGCAAACUAAAAUUGAAUCCUAGUAAAAUUAUACAUCCCCACAUCCAAAUUGGCAUAUUCCUGUUAGCAAACCAUCUUCUUCUUGCUGGAGAUGAAACCAUCAUUCCUAGAUUUUCUCUCCUUCUCCAACCUUGAGUUUCCUAUGGCGGACCUCUCAUCCAACCAGUUGAUAAUAUCCGAAAACACCGUGUCUAUAUUCUCAGGCGGCUCACCAGAAGUCAGGCCGUGCCACAUCCCGGGAUAUAGCUUGAAGGUCUUGUCAGCGCUGGCGGCUGUUUCGUGUAACUGCUUGCUGGUUGAUGGAUCCGUCACCUUGUCGUCUCCCCCAUGAACAACUAGAAAAGGCAUUUGUAUCUGUUACAAACACCCCCACCCAAGUUAGAUUUCAAAGGCCAACUUCAAAUACAAAACCAAAAUUUUAUUCGAUAAGUAAAAUGUUUGUAAAUUGGGACCAACCUUGUGGAGAUUCUUUUCCAAGUCUAAGCUGACUCUUAAAAGUUCUUGGCCUGUCUUCAAGCGAAUUCGUCCCUUGUAGCAGUAUGGAUUGGACCGUAUCUGUGGAUUAAUGAUUCAAUUAAUGAGAGAAGGUGAAAUCAAAUUAUUCAAACAAAAUUGGAUUCAAUAAAUUAGAGGGAACACACACCUCUGCUCUUUUUUCUGGUUCUUUGAAGGCCAUUUCUACCACAUCUUCUGUGGGGAUCAUUUUCCAGGUUGGAAUGACCUUGCACAACAUGGUUAGAACAGUGAUCACCACUGGAUUUGGCUUCAUAUCAUCUGCAAUCUUUUUACAUAGAAAAAAAAAUUCUUAGGAAUAUUUACGUUUGUUGUAUGAAAACACGGGAAUAGAAACAUACCUUGCACAUGGGUGCAACCAAGACUGCGCCAUCCCAAUAAUCUGGUGUUUGUCUAUCCAUAUUCAGAGCUAUUGCUCCUCCCAUUGAUUCUCCAUACAGAUAUCUCAUCUUCCCUAUGUUAUCUUUGUGUUCUGUUUUUGUUCACAAACAAGAAAAUCCCACCAAGAAAAGUUGGUAAUUGAAUGGUUUUUAUGUAUCUCUGUGUGUGUUUGGUUGCUAAGAAAACAAAAGGAGAAAUCAGAACUGAAUCGGGAGGAUGGUUUUAAUUACCACAAAUGGUUGAGAAAUAAUUAGCACAGUCGCUAACUAUAUCAUCAAAGCAGGAAAUGAGGCCACCAAGCCCAGAUGAUUUUCCAUGGCCUUCAAAGUCAAUCCCGUAAACUGCAUAUCCUGCCUUUGCCAGCCUCGUUCCAGUAUCUGAAGCCAAUUCAAUAAUCCCCAUAUGAUUCAAAUUUUCCUUUUCCUUUUCCUUCUCAUGGUGAAAAAGAAAAUUUGAAAUUCAAUGGUGUAGAUGCCAUACCAUUCAUGGAGAUGCUGCACUCCAUGGCAUAACCAUGGAGGAUGAAGAUCAAGGCUUUCGGAUCUUGGUUUGCAGGAAACCAUCUGCAUGUGAAGAGCUUCAGUCCUCGAGAAUUCAAUAUAUAUUCCUGCAUAAUUUUUCAAGUCUCAGUCAUGAUUCUCACCAUCCAAACACAACAAAAGGUAAAAAGAAAAAAAAUAAACUCUCAAGUUUUUUUCAACCCAAAACCAGGCCAAGUUGACUAACCUCUUCAUACUUCACAUGAUUUCUCAUUUCGCCCGCCUGGAAAGAAUCACCGACAAAAACAAAAGAACAUCAGAAUGAGAGAUGUGAGAAAAUUAGAGGCCAACAGAGAAAGAGGUGAUGAUUACCAUGAAAGAGGGACCUCAGAAGUCUCUUUUCUGAGAUAAGGAAAAGAGAAAGAAUAGGGAAGUAAUAGAAGAAAGGAAAGGGUGAGAAAAUUACGGAAAUGGAAAGCUUGCCACAAACAGAGGAGUAGGAGAAGGAGAAGAUGAAGGAGGUGGACCAGGUGAUCGUUUGAGGACUGAAUCUUGGCGGUUUAUAUAGAGAAAUCCAAGAGAAGAAUUAGAGGCACUGCUCUCACCACCUUCGGGUCAGCACUUAUCUUAAGGGCCAAUCCAUUUAGGCCAAAGGUUGGGUGGAUUAUUACAAAAUAUUAAGUUUUAAAAAGCAAAGUGUGGUGGGGCUUUUGAUUUGUGUAAAAAAUUUGAAAAAUGAUCUUGGAUUUAAUUGCUUAGAAUUGAUUUGGUAGAUAUUAAAGAAUAAUAAAAUUUCUUAAAUUACACGUUAGAAAUGGUAAAUUUUAUCGGAUUUAUUAUUAUUAUUUUUUGGGAAUAUUUUAUUAUAGAAAAAAAUAAUUUCUAAAUAAAAAAUAAUAUUUAUUUAUAAGCAUAUGAAAUAAGAUUCCUUUUUAACAUGAUAUCGGAUUUUUCUAUUUUUAUUUUUAAAAAAAUUAUAUUUUAAUUGGUUUAUUUUUCACGAAAGACUUUCUCAUCCAUUAUUUUUCUUGAAAAGUUUUCCUUGGUCAAAUGUGUGCACCUUUUUUUCCUUUUUCUUUUUAUAUUUUAAUUAUUUUGUGUCAAGCUGACCACCUAUGGUGUCUUGUUGGUAAGGUUCUCAUAGCAAGUAGCCACAAGAAAAUUCAAAACAAUGAAGGUAAUGAUGUAAACAUGUGAGCGGACCAUAUCAUAAUACAAAAUAAACCUCUUUACAUUUUAUAUUUUUCUUAAAUCUCGUAAAAAAAAAAAAAAAUAAAAUAAAAAAAAAUAUAUAUAUAUAUAUAUAUAAUAUAAAAAUUAAAAUUUUAUUUUUGGUAUUAUUUUUUAUACACAAACAAUAAUUUUUUUUUAACUAAUUUUAUCAAGCGUAUUCACAAUACGACGUAUCCGAAAGGGGUUUUUUCAUCUUAGCAAUAAUUUUAAAAAAAGUAUGAGCAAUAACUUUUAUGUUUUUUUUAUAUUUGAAUUUGAUGUCAAAUAAUAUUUUAUUUUGAUAGAGUUAUAAUGUUUUAUAUGUCAAUUAGUGAUGUUAUAAAUAACGAAUUUUAGGUUUGGAGUUAGGUGUUAAUAUUCAUGAUUAUUGUUGACGUAAGGGUUUGAGACAUUGUAGAUGAGUUAUUUUGAUGCAUUAACUCAGUUGAAAAAAAAAAAAAGUGUUUUUGUCUUUUUGGUUUUUUUGUUUUAUUUUAUUUUAACCGCCACGAGCAUUAAUUUCUUGAUCACAUGAAAAAAUAAAAAUCUAAUUCCAAAAGUUUGGGGCAGGUACGCACACUUUCUAGAUUUGAGCGCGAAUGAAGGAGACGGCAGAGCUGACCAUGCACUUGCGCCGACACGUGCCCACGAUCGUUGACGAGCGCGUUUUUACAAGUGGGCCACGGACAGCCAAUUAUAUUAUGACACGUAAUAUAAUGCUAGCUAUUGUAUUAUUUCAUUUUGGAACAAGAUGGGUAAUUCAUAAAAUAUUAUAAUUAAAAAUGGGUAUUCAUCUCAUGAUUAUUAACACAUUUUCUAAUAUUUAUAAUUUUUUUUAUUUUUGGAAAUUAUAAUGAAAUGAGUGAUGAAAGAGAAUUUGAAUGGUGGUUUCAACGUUUUUUAAGAAUUUGUUUACAUUCUAGACAACAUGGGAAGGGUUGAGAAACCCAAACAUUUUUAUUUGAUUUAUUAUCAAAUAUAAUGAAAAUGAUUUAAUUUUUAUAUUAAUUUUUAAAAAUAAAUAAAAACUAAUAAAUUUUGAAAAAACCCACAAAAUUUUUUAUUAAGUUCAAAAGUUUUUUCUCCUCAUAUUUUCAAUAAUAGAAAACUAUGAGUUCGAAUGGUUUCAUGAAAAACAUGCUUACAAAAUUAAGAGGAAUUUAUAUGUGUAUAACAUUAGGAACAUUCUUCAUAUCUGAUGUGGGAUAUCACAAAUACCCCUCAUAUAAAUACAACAUUUUCGUUGUAUCUCAUAGGAUUAUGAAUCCCAACACCGGGAUCAAAGAUGGGUUCUGAUACUAUUUAUAACGAUUUGCUCCUAAUUAUAUAAAUAUUAUUCGCUCUAAACCUCAAUGAGUCAUUGCAACUUUAAAACAUGUCUACAUAAUUAAAAUAUAUAGAUAUUAUUCGCUCUAAACCUCAAUGAGUCAUUGCAACUUUAAAACAUAUCUACAUAAUUAAAAUAAAUUUAUACUUAUAUGGUAUAAAGAAUGUUCCCCUAUUCGAUGUGGGAUAUCACACAAAUAUUGAAAAGAUAUAACUUCAAAAAAAUUAUUAAUGAAUUAUUUACUUAUCGAUAACAUGAUUCCUAUUUUAACUUUUGCUUGAUUUUAAAAAGAUAUAAGAAACAAUUCAUACUAAAAAACAAUGAUGUUGUUUCUCAUGUUGCAUGUGAAACGAAAACCACACAACAUAUGGAAAGCCAAGAUAAUAGCAAUAAAUUAUUUUUUUUAUACCAUAUGGUAAAAAAGGGAAAAGCUUUAUAUGUGAUAUUCUACCAUCUUUUUAGGCAGUUGAAAGGCCUAGACAAGCCACUAAAUCUUUUAGUGUUGAGAGAUCUCAAUCAAAACCCAUCAAAGUGGAUAUAGACAAAUAUUUUUUGAAAAAAUAUCCAUUUUUAUGAUCAUCAUUUGCUUGAACUAUUUACGGGAAAGUUAAAUAGUCAACUUCCCCAAGCCCUACGAAAGGGGGAAAAGAAACUUAUUUUAUGUGCUGAAUCAUUUUUGUUGGUACUAGAAAAAUACAUGUCAAUUAGGGCCAUCAUUUUGGAAGGAUGCAUGAAGGAGACUAUACAUGUUUGUAACAUGGGAGGUGGUGGGUUGAUUAAAUUCCCCCCAUGUGAUAGUCACUUGAUCCUUGGGUUUCACCUAUACAUGGAUCAAGGAAGUCUCCUAACAAAUCUUUCUUUGAAAUUCUUAAUUUCGUAGAAAACAAGUUUAUAUUAUUUAUUAGAUGGAUUGAUUCUUAAUACUACAAAGUAAUCGAGAUGUUGAAGUCGAAGAGGAAGACUUUGCAAUUAUUUUGAAAAGUAAGGAGAAAGAAUAAGACCCUAUUUAAUAACUGUUUUUGAAAACAGUUCUGAAAAAAUGUUUUUGUUUGGGAACCUAAAAUGUUUUUAAUAUUUUUAAAUAUGUUUUAAAAAUAAUUUUUAUAUUUAUGUUUUAUUUUUAAUUAUUCCAUGUACUUGUAUAAUUAUUUUCUAAAAUCACUUUAAGAAAACAAGCGAAAACAAUAAAACAACUCAAAGAUAUUAUUUGAAAACAACCUGUUUUCUGUUCUUAAAAAUAGACAACAUAAAAAAGUUUGUGGUUAUCAAACAUGUUUUCUUAUUUUUUUGUUCUACAUAAUAGAAAAUUGUUCUUAAAAACAAAUGUCAAACAAACUCUAUGUAAUUUCUAAAGCCGCCGUUACAUAAAAUAACCUUUAAACAUUUUAAUGAUAUACAUUAAGACACAUAGUAUGACACUUGGAUUGUUGAACGUGGUCUCAUAUGUAACAAAAGUAUUUAGGAUUAUUGUGGAAAAUGACUCAAAUUUUAAAUAAAUAUAUGACACAAUUAACUUGUUAGAGUUAAUAUUACAACCAUUUAAUUUUGUAUUCAGUUUAUAUUAGAUGAGAGUUAAAUUGGGAAUCACAAAUGAAUUAUCACAACAUUAUAAAAUGGAGAUUACGAUAUCGUUAAUAUAAUGACUUUGGAUCGAAAUAUAUAUAUAAAUGAUGAAAGAAUGGUUGGAAUUCUCCGCAUGAUCAAAUUUUCUGUUUUUUUGAAAAAUAUAAUACCAAUGUUUCAAAUAUAGAUGAUACCUUUUUAACUAAAAGGAUACUGUUGGGACGUCAUUUGUUUUGAGUAUAUUUGGCUCUGUGCCAGUCAAGGGCGUCACAGAGUGGCCUCCCCAGGAUUCGAACUCGGGACCUUAACCCUGGCAGUUGCCCUCCUGGUAUCAUCUGGGCUACUAUUCGAAUCCUGGGGAGGCCACUCUGUGACGCCCUUGACUGGCACAGAGCCAAAUAUACUCAAAACAAAUGACGUCCCAACAUAAACGUCGGCCUUUUUUGCUCUGGUGCCAGCCGUACCACCGAACUGUGCCAGUCAGGGGCAUCACAGUCGGAAUGGGCCAGCAGCGCAAAGUCUUAUGGGGCCAUUUGUUUAUUUGACCCUUGGGGUGACGUCCCUAGGAUUCGAACUCAAGACCAAGCCUUAAGGUGCUUGAGUGUGCCCUCCUGGUACCAUCUGGGCUAGUAGCCCAGAUGGUACCAGGAGGGCAACUGCCAGGGUUAAGGUCCCGAGUUCGAAUCCUGGGGAGGCCACUCUGUGACGCCCUUGACUGGCACAGAGCCAAAUAUACUCAAAACAAAUGACGUCCCAACAGAUACUACCACGUAAAGUUCAAGAAAUCGCAAACUUAAACUUGUAUCAAGGUGGAGUUAUUCUAUGUUCUUAUUGAUUUAUAACUUCAAAAGCUUAAUAAUUGUUUCAUCAAGAUAUGAUUCAUUUACCAUUUUUUAUAAU